rnacentral:lncRNA from 1 species
AACUUUAUUGCAAGGGCUUCGACCUCCCACCUCCUCCGGAUGAUUCUCAUCUUGAGAAUCUUAUAACAGUUUCAGGUGUGAGUGUUCACAGUUGUACCGUAGAAGUGCUUUCAAGAAUCCCAAAGCUAACGAGAAUAUCCGUUCAAAUUGAGUCAGCACACGACUCAACCGAAACGUUUAGUUUUUUCGGCCAUUGAGCCCUUGAAACUCGAAAGAACGAAGAUGUAUACUCUAAAGAGUGAUACCAAAAGAUCAGUGGCGUUUUAGUUAAUAUUGUAUCUUUCAUCCUAUAAUCAUUUUCAGUUCAUUAACCAUUAUAUAUCUACCAGAGCAAUUCUGUGUUGAUUUUCAACUUAGCUGCACGAUGAAUUUUGCUUUUUCCUCUGUGAAUUUUUGGUAAGCUUGAUCCUUGAAAACGUUGAAGAGAGGUUUUGAUUGAUUUUUGUUUAUCUGUACGUACAGGAUUAUAAUAAAUUCCAAAUGGCUAAUCGUGUGUUGCUCGGCGAUUGAAAUGCCUCAACUAUUCAAAUGAAGAUGAAGAUUCCUAUUCGGCAAGUGUGGCAAAAUUUCAAAGCUUUCAUAAAACUGUUUAUGAUUUGAUAUUUUCCUGUUUUUGUAAACUUUUGUUUUUUGGGUGAUCAUUGAAACUUAUGUUUUGGAUAUUUUCUUGAUUUAUUCGUGAGGCCACUCUUGUAACGUCAAAGGUAAUUAAUUUUACAUAAUUUUUACUUUUGCAAUGGCUGGAAAUUAAAAAAUAAAAAGUGUGAUGGAUUCGAUUCUAUCAUAUGAUUGUUGAAUGUCAAAAUGUACCUCCCUGUAAGUUGUUAAUGAAUAUGGUUAAGGUAUGAAAGCUCAUUUCAAGCUCAAGUUCAACUCGUAACUCGCCUAGAACAAAAAUUCUAAAAUAUGUAUAAAAAGAACUAGGUUAUUCGAGCUUGAUUCCUUCGCUCAAGGCCUUGAUAAUCAGACCAAGAUAUAUGUGUAUUUAUAUAUUUAUUAUUUUUUUCUAAAACUCAUGAAUGAAAAUUUCCAAAAAGCUUAACAAAAUUCGGUUAUACCCCUUCUUGUUUUAAAGAUUCAAUCUAGAGAAUCUGGAAUGUGCAAUGGAUUCGUGCGCUCGAUUGAUUGGGUAAAGGAAGCAGAUUAUAAUACCGUUUCGUCAACAAGACCGGGUAGAUUUGUUUGGAUAUAUAAGUUCCUGUUUUUCUGUACGGAGGCAUAUUUGAAAUCAAUGUCUCUAAAAUUUGAACUAAUCUCUGAAUUUAUAUAAUGGAUUUAGAAUUUUGUUUACAUUUUUUGCACGAGCUCUAUUACGGUACAUGCAUCGAUAACUACAGUUAAGUUGUUUUCUCCAAGUCCUUUUAUUGUUUUCGUUUUAUCUUAGCUUGUAUUUAUACAUACUGUUUUUGAAUUAUAUAUUCUAAUUAUGAAAAUCUCAACUAGCUUUUUAAAAUUUAAAACCUUGCUUAAAACAUUAUCAGUAUGCAUUAGUCACUUGAAAUUUAUAUUUUAUUUUACAAAUACUAGUUUCAAAAUGCUUACGGUUUUAAUAUGACUCGAUCGAUCGCAUCCAGUUGAGCUAAUAUUUGUUCUUAGAGGGGUUUUUUGCAAAAACCACCCCUGUGUAAUCUCGAAUUGCUGAAAAACCCCUCGUGUUAAAAAUAUUAGCACAAAACCCCCUAUGAAAAAUAGUCAAAGCCAAAAAAGACCCUACGAGCUCGAUGUGUUAUACACUCGCGCUUUGUGCGACUGGGCCUCGUGUUUAGGAACUAGAAAGACCUAAAUACCCUUUAAAUCAAUUUUUGAAAUUUAUAAACUUACCCAAAAUAUUUUUCAUAAGCUCAAAAUGAAGUUUUCAGAAUUUUCAAUUCAAUCCCCACUAACUUCAGAAAAGCCCUCUCUCCAAAUUGCAUAGAACCAAAUUGCAAUUUUCACAAUUUCUCAAAACUUCAUCAUCUUCUUCCCCUCUCCUUCAGAUAUGCUGCACGCCAAAUAAAAAAAAAAAAAAAAAACAAACAAACAAACAAAAACCACCGAUUCAUCUUCAUAACCUGCCCAUUUGCAAAAGAAGAAAAAACAACAAAAGUUGCUUCCUCCAUCUAAACCUGCCGGAAGAAAAAAGCACUUCAAGCACAAAAAACACAGGCCCAAUACAAUACACACACGCACAAAACGUAACUCGAUCCAACAUCUUGAUUUACAAGAGAUACGAAAGAACCCAUCAAACAUAAAGCAUAUUUUUUUUGGGGUGGGAAGGCAGAUGGGGAUGCGGCGGUGGUGCGGCCGUGGUGUUGGUGAUGCGGCGGUGGUGCGGACGUGGUGGUGGUGAUGCGGCGGUGGUGCGGCCGUGGUGGUGCGGACGUUGUGGUGGUGAUGCGGCCGUGGUGGUGGUGAUGCGGCGGCGUAGGGCUCGAUGGAAGAAUCGGGUUGCGGCAGUGGUGCGGACGUGGUGGUGGUGAUGCGGCGGAGGACUUAUGGAAGAAUUGGGUUGUGGGAGGAAGACGAUGGCCUGGGUUGACUUUUCUUUUUCUUUCUUUUUUUUCUUUUUGCAUUUUGCAUUUUAUUUAUUUAAUUGAAACAUAAACUAUUAAAAAUAUGAGGGUUACUUUAGUCAUUUCUUAAAAGUCAACUGCUAAUUUCGAAAUAAGGGGCAGUGUGCUUUGUCAAAAAUAAUAUAGGGGGGUUUAUGCUAAUAUUUUUAACAUGGGGGGUUUUUUAGUCAUUCAAGAUUUCACAGGGGGUCUAUGCAAUUAGCUCGUUCUUAGAGUCUUUCAGGGAAUAGUGAAUUCAUCGAAGAGAGGUUUUUGAAAGAUUUUCUUUGAUGAUGCUAAUUACUUAGAUCACCUGGGGUAGUGUAGAAAACGAACUGGGAGAGCAAAGCGGAUCAGUAGCUUGACAACUUGAUGAUCCUGAGGUACCUGCGAUCAUAGAACACGUGAACUAGGCCGGGGGUUGAUCCGGCGGAAACCCCUCCGACGCUCAAGUCAGACGUGCUAAUAGUGGAAAUAGUCCAGAGAAUACAGUUAAUAGUAUUACUCAGUUAAUAGGACAUACCUUAAGGAAUGAAUUCAAACCUUUAUUUAUAGCUUAGUUGAGAUAGUCGGGCCCAAACCUUACUUGAAGGUGAUUGGGCAUCUGUGAUAAUGGUCUUCGAUAUUGGGCUCGUGGCCCAGUAGGUAAAGAAAUUGUAGGCCCAUUGGGUUGGCCCAAUUAGACAUAUCAUUCUUCAUUGGUGUACAAGAAGUGAAGAGAAUAAGAAUACAUUCCAUGAUUCAUUCGUCAGGCCAUUCUUGCAAUGAAUGUUAAUAGGCAAUUAAUUUUACAUAAUUGAUGCUACUACGGAGCAAAUCUGGAAAUAAUGAUGUUUUUGGAGUAGAUAACUAACUAUGGUUUUUACUUUUUGAAAUGGCUUGACAGCAGUGUUUUGGAACCCGGAUCGGACCGGUUAAACUGCGAACUGUUGUCUUUCCCGAUCCAGUUUAAUAGGUUGAACCGUAAAACCGAAACCCAAUUGAAAACGGGAUUUUUUUAUACCAAAAUAGUGUUUUUUAUCAAGUUUUUUUAAAAUAAAUAAAAUGGCUUAAACUCGACAUAUUGUCUCACAAUUGGGAUUUUUGGAAUUGACUAGAGGUGAAAAUUGGAAUGGAUAUUUCUAAUUCCACAAUUCCUAUCGGGUUUUUUUAUUUUGGUUAGAAACGAUAUAUUUUAAUUGAAUUCCGAAAAUGCCGAUUUUGGAACAAUAUUUUAAAAUUUUAAACUAUAUUUUGAUUUUUUAAACAAUAUUUCCGAAAUGAGUUGAUUUUUUUGGAAUUUAAGUGAUUUCGUUUUUAUAUUAAUUAAUUAAAAAUAAUAAUUAUAAAAAAUAUGUUUUAACAAGACGCAAUGCGUUUUGUUGAAAGUCCAUUUUCAUGUAGUGUUGUAAAUUGAAGGCAUGUGAGAGGCACAUGCCAUUUUCCAUCCAACUUAACGGCAAAAAUUAACGGCGGACCAAUUCUGUCAAAAAAUGGCAUGAUUAAGGACUACUAUUGUAACUCCAAAAUGUUUAGGGACAGUUUUGAAAAAGUGAGUAAAGUAUGAGGACGAAAAAUGUAAUUUUCCCGGAGUUAAUAUGUGUAAAAUAAAAUAUGUUUUGUUUACUAUCAAAAUUAAAUAUAAAUGAUUAUAAAUAAGGGUAAAUUACAACCACCCCUGAGGUAUGGUCAAAUUACAAAAAAAACCCUCAUGUUUGGGUAAUUACAACCACCCCUCAACUAUAAAUCUUCUUACACGUCCACCCUUGCGGUUUCAAAUUUAGUGGAAUUUUCGAGUAUAUAUAGAAUAUUAUCACUUUUCUACCCGCUUUAUCCCAUUCGAACUCCACAUUUUGAAGCAAGAUGAUCAUAAUAUGUGUUUUUUGGCUUGUAUAUAUCAGAUUGUGGUUUAUCAGAAACUGUAUUUUUACACAAAACGAGGACAAACUAGAGCACAUUCCACGAAAUCUGGAUGAUUAUGUUGAAUUUGACACCAUAAGGGUUCAGGUGUAAGAAAAAAACAUAGUUGGGAGUAGAUGUAAUUAUCCAAACAAGAGGGGUUUUUUCGUAAAUUGAUCAUACCUCAAGGAGGUGGUUGUAAUUUACCUUAUAAAUAAAGGUCACUUUAGAAAUAAGCCCAUAAAUGGGUACUUAAGGUGGGUGAUUGUUAGGCAUUGUUAUAAAUUGGAAAACAUCUCGAAUCAAUUCAAGAACACUGGACUACUAGAGGUAGAUGAUUGCAACCCAUCCUUUAUGAAGAAAAUGCGCGAGUGUCGAUCCUUUUUGGGUGCAGAAGCUAAAGUAGGUUCUUCAAGUACGGAUCUAUAAAGGUAAUUAAUGGUCGUCAAAUCUAUGUAAAAAAAUUUAGGGUCAAUUCAAUGGUACACUUGAAGAAUCUAAUAUAUAGAUGAUCAUAUCCUAGCAAUUUCUUUGACUAGGACUAUAUAUCUCUUUCUUUUUUUGUCAACACGAAAAUACUCUAUUUUAAAAACAGUAUUGGACUUUAUAAUAAAUUUUCUUAGUUUACAAAAACUGUUGCAUUCUCUUCAAAGUGUUUCGAACCAUUGAGCCGUUGAAACUCGAAAGAACGAAGAUGCAUACUCUAAAGAGUGAUACCAAAAAAAUCAGUGGCGUUUUUAUCUUUACUUGUUACCAAAUAUUGUAUCUUUCAUCCUAUAAUCAUUUUUCAGUUCAUUAACCAUUAUAUAUCUACCAGAGCAAUUCUUUGUUGAUUUUCAACUUAGCUGCAGGGUGAAUUUUGCCUUUUCUUCUGUGAAUUUUUGGUAAGCUUGAUCCUUGAAAAUGUUGAAGAGAGGUUUUGAUUGAUUUUUAUUUAUCUGUGCGUACAUGAUUAUAAUAAAUUCCGAAUGGCUAAUCGUGUGUUGCUCGGGCAUUGAAAAGCCUCAACUAUUAAAAUGAAGAUGAAAAUUCCUAUUCGGCAAGUUUGGCAAAAUUUCAAAGCUUUGACAAAACUGUUUAUGAUUUGAUAUUUUCCUAUUUCUGUAAACUUUUUUUUUGGGUUAUCAUUGAAACUUAUAUUUUUCGAUAUUUUCUUGAUUUAUUCGUGAGGCCAUUCUUGUAACGUAAAAGGUAGUUAAUUUUACAUAUUUUUUACUUUUGCAAAAUAAAAAAAAAGUUUGUUGGAUUCGGUUCUAUCAAAUAAUUGUUGAAUGUGAAAUGUACCUCCCUGUAAGUUGUUAAUGAAUAUGGUUAAGGUAUGAAAGCUCAUUUCAAGCUCAAGUUCAACUCGUAACUCGACUAGAACAAAGAUUCUAAAAUAUGUAUAAAAAGAAUUAGGUUCAUUAUUAUAAUUAUUAAAAAAGAAAUUUCAUUAGGUUCUGAUAAUUGGUGUGACCACUGGAAACAAAGUGUUUGGUUCCCACGAAGCUUAGAUCUGUAUGUCUUAAAAGACGAAGAGGUUCACACACACGCAUUUCAUACCGAAACGAGCAUCUCAUAUGACUUCGAAACUUUAAACGAAAAGCGACAGGUGGCAGAUGUUGAUGCCUGUACCGACGAUUUUCAGAUUGUUCUGUCACCAGAAAGAAACGCUUUAUAUGGGGAUAUUGGUUGGAGAUUUUUAAUACUUAACGCCAUUGAAAAAGCUGUAAGAUUUAUUCGAAUUAAUUAUUCUUACCUCAAGUUCCCAUUUACAACUUCGGCUUUUAACUUUUCGUUUGAAUGUUUUUAUUUAUUUUCCUCUGUGUUUAGUUGCGGAUGAUAGUAUUUUUUUUGGCAAUUGCUAUUGCCCGUCUUUCAAAGAGUUCGAAUGUGAUUCCUUUAGUUCGAAUGUGCAGCAAAUAGCUUCACUAUGGAUCGCAUAUCGAAGAAGGAUUUGCUGUCUACAAUGCAAGAUCCACACCACAGGAAGGUUAGUAAACUGAUGUUUAUAUAUUCCAAAUACUUCGAAUAAUUAAUUGUCGAGCUGAUUUAUGGUAUUUUGAAAUAUCCUCUUGACUAUAUAUCAUGGUCUCUCUCUCUCUCUCUCUCUCUCUCUCUCUCUCUCUCUCUCUCUCUCUCUCUCUCUCUCUCUCUCUCUCUCUCUCUCUCUCUCUCUGUAUGGGUGUGAGAGAGAGAAAGUAGUAAUAAGGCUCAAUUUGAUAAGAUUUGCAGAAAAAAUACUGGAGUUCAUGUGGGUUGUGUUUUCUUGGGAUCACUUUUGGAAUUUCUGUGGAUUGACUGCGUUGGGGGAAAUCUACCGAACAGCCGAUGAGCAAGAACCUCGUAACAACAACAACAACAAUAAUAAUAACAACAACAAUAAUAAUAAGGGCCAAUUACGACCCACCUCUGAGUUAUGGUUAAAUUACAAAAACCUUUAUCUUGUUUGGGUAAUUAGAGCCAUCCAUCAACUAUGUAUUAUCUUACGAAAAUACCCCUUCAGAGGUAAAUUUAGGGAUGUUAAAUUGGCAAAACCGAACCGAAAUUUUGGUACGCAAACAUUUCAUACUGUUUGUCGAACUGAAUAUACAGUAUUGCGUCGGUAAAUAACCGAAUUACAUAAAUAUUAUGUUAAAAUAUUUGAAAGGAGGGUAGUUAUAAUUACGGGAAAAUUACAUUUUUCGUCCUCAUACUUUACCCACUUUUUCAAAACUGUCCCUAAACAUUUUGGAGUUACAAUAGUAGUCCUUAAUCAUGCCGUUUUUUGACAGAAUUGGUCCGCCGUUAAUUUUUGCAGUUAAGUUGGAUGGAAAAUGGCAUGUGCCUCUCACAUGCCUUCAAUUUACAACACUACAUGAAAAUGAACUUUUAACAACACGCAUCGCGUCUUGUUAAAACAGAUUUUUCAUAAUUAAAACUUGAUUGAAAUUCGAAAUUAUAUAAAUUCCAAAAAAAAAAAAAAUCGAUAUAUAUUGUUUUAAAAUAUUUUGAGAAAUAUUCUUUAAACAAUUGAAACAUUGUUUAAAAAAAAUGAAAUAUUGCUUUCAAAAUCAAGAUUUUCGAAAUUCAAAUGAAAACAUAGUUUGAAAAUAUAAUAAAAAUUCGAUCCGAAUAGGUGGGAUAAGAAACCUCCAUUUCAAUCUUCACCCUAAUUUAAUAAUGUAAAACUCGAUAAAUUGUUUCAAAAUAUUUUUAGAAGUAUUGUCUAAAAUAACAAUAUAAUGUUUUAAAACCGAGAUUUCUUGAAUCCAAAUCAAAUUAUUGUUUUAAAUAAAAUAAAAAUCUGAUCGUAAUAGGCGGAGUAAGAAAACUUCGUUCCAAUUUUCACCCUUAUUUAAUAAUCUAAAACUCAAUUUUUUUUCAAAUUAAAUUCAGAAAUAUUGUUUAAAAAAUCAUAAUAUUGUCUAAAAAAUUAAUAUUGUGUUUUAAAAUCGGAAUUCUUGGAAAUUGAAUGAAAAUAUUAUUUUAAAACAAAAAAAAAAAUUCGAUCAAACUAGGCGGCAUAAGAAAACUCCUUUCCAAUUUUCACCCAUAUUGAAUGAUUUAAAACUCGACAUAUUGUCUCACAAUUGGGAUUUUGGGAAUUGACUAGAGGUGUAAAUUGGAAUGGAGAUUUAUAAUUCCCCAAUCCUAUCGGGUUUUUUAUUUUGGUUUGAAACGAUAUAUUUUAAUUGAAUUCCGAAAAUGCCGAUUUUGGAACAAUGUUUUAAAUUUUUAAACUAUAUUUUGAUUUUGUAAACAAUAUUUUCGAAACGAGUUGAUUUUUUUUGGAAUUUACGUGAUUUCGAUUUUAUAUUAAAUUUUAAUUAAAAAUAAUAAUUAUAAAAAAUAUGUUUUUAACAAAACGCAAUGCGUGUUGUUGAAAGUCCAUUUUCAUGUAGUGUUGUAAAUUGAAGACAUGUGAGAGGCACACAUGCCAUUUUCCAUCCAACUUAACUGCAAAAACUAACGGCGGACCAAUUCUGUUAAAAAAGGGCAUGAUUAAGGACUUCUAUUGUAACUCUAAAUUGUUUAGGGACAGUUUUGAAAAAGUGGGUAAAGUAUGAGGACGAAAAAUGUAAUUUUCCCUUAUAAUUACCCAAACAAAAAGAAAAAAGAUAGCUUGUCAUAUCACACAAGGAUGUGAAAAAUGUCGUUCGAGUUUUAAUAAUACCGUUACGACUUCAAACGUGAUUUUGAUCAUUUUUAGUUCCAACUUUUGCAAAACCCGAAAAAUAGAAUUUGUAGUAUUCUGAGUUAGUUUUCUAAUCCAACUUGAAUCACCUAAAUUGGAUGUUGGACGAGAAAGAUAUACAUGAAUCAAUGGAUAUUGCCCACAACUUUAUGUAUUGAGGUAUCUAAAAUUCAAUAUGUGACUCAUUCAUGCAUAAUUUUGUCACGCGGCAUCCACUCGAGCGGAUUUAACGAUCCAUUAAGCAUCCGAUUCCACAAUUAGUUUGUAAAUACCCAAAUGAUUGCAUAAAUGAAGCCCAUCCAGAAUAGCUUGAGUUUUUGCAGCAAACAAUGAUCCCUUUCCAUAAAAAUGGGAAAACCCUGGAAUAAAAACCCCAGCUUGAUCCCUUUAUGAACACCCCCCCCCCCCCCAUAAAAAAAAAAUCCUCGCCAUGCAUAGGGCCGUCUACAUUAAGUUUGAAAUAUAAAUAUUAUUAUGCCGCCAACGCCGCCACUAGGGUCGUCUCCACGCGCCGCCACAAGCCGGUGAUCCGAGAAGGGCAAUUCUGAAAAACUACUCUCGGAUUUUCUGCGCAGUCCAGCGAGAAAAUUCGCCAUAAAUCAACCAAUGAUUGGAUGGACGUGAAAUUUUGACAGCAGCUUCCGGACCCAUUGAUAUACAAUAAAGCGGAAGGAAUUAUCGAUCCAGUCUAUAACCAUGGAGAUAUUGAAGUCGGAGCAGGCCUGUAAUUUCAGAUCAGAAAACAUGUUGGAUCAGUAAGAGUGAGAAGAGCAGCUAGCCAUCUUAGAGGGUAAAUCACACAUACACCCCUAAGGUAUGUUAUAAUAAUUUAUUUUAAGGUCCAUGUCGUAUCGGUAAUUACAAUUACUCCCUAAAACAUUGUUAGAAACUCAACGGGAUAAUGCAUUGGAUACGUUAUUCCUAUAGAGUUUUAACGAACUAUUAGUUUCAUGAAGUCGUGGAGACAACACAGAGUUAUGGGUGAUUUAAGAAAUAUUGGGGGAGCCAUCUCAACCCCUAACUCUAUGUUGUCUCGACGACUUCCUACUGAAGCUAAUAGUCCCGUUAGAAAUCUAUCGGAAUAAGGUAUCCAAUGCAUUAUCCCGUUAGAGUUUCUAACAAUAUUUCAGGGGAUAAUUAUAGUUACCGAUACCACAUGUAAUUACAUACCUCAAAGGUGUACGUGUAAUUUACCCGAAUAUAAAUUCAUGGAAGUUUGCUAGUUUCUCAAUUAUAGGCACUCUUUUUCCUUUUUUAGUUUUUAUUUAAUGUGAAGUACCACCCAAUUAAUGAAUUCAUGCACCUCAACCAUCCAACCCUAGAUAAUUAAUUAGUCAAGUAUAUCAAUUAUUUCAACUAGUACUUCACAUGUGCGUUGCACGGAUGUCAGUUUCAAAAUGAGAAAAAUAAUAAUAUUUAAAUAAUUAUCUCUUUAUAACAACACCAAUUCAAGUAAACCAAAAUGGAAGUAAAUAAAAAUAGUUAUCUCUUAAUUCAGAGAUGUCACAUAUGAAAUUCAAUUAAAUAUUACAAAGAAGAAUAUGUGAACCCCGCGAAACACCAUAUGAAGAUUAUGUGAAAUCAUUUAAAACAUAUGGUAUAACUUUAUUUCAUGAAAUGCAAUCUACUACACAAUGUGAAUCUUCUGCAAAAUAACUAACUUAACAACAAACACAGUAGUACAAAGGUAACACAAUAGAUAUUCAAAUAACCUGCAAGUUUAUCACUAACAACAUUCAAUUAGUGAUGCACAUUACUCAAACAACGACACAAUUUAUAAAUAUUGCAAAAUAGAUACGAUGUAUAAGCUACUACCAAUAAUGAUACCAAUACUGAUACUAAUAUUGACACUCUGAUACUAAUACUAUGCUGAUGCUGACGCUGAUGCUGAUGCUGAUGCUGAUACUGAUACUGAUACUGAUACUAAUACUGAUACUAAAUACUGAUACUGAUAUUGAUACUGAUAUUGAUACUGAUACUGAUACUAAUACUAAUACUAAUAUUAAUCCUAAUACUAAUACUACUACUAAUACUAAUAAUAAUACUAAUAUUAAUACUAAUAAUAAUACUAAUAUUGAUAUUAAUAUUUAUACUAAUAUUGAUAUUAAUACUGAUACUCGUACUAAUACGUACUCAUACUGAUACUCAUACUACUACUAAUACUAAUACUAAUACUAAUACUAAUACUAAUAGUAAUACUAAUACUAAUACUAAUAUUACUAAUACUAAUACUAAUACUAAUACUAAUACUAAUACUAAUACUAAUACUAAUACUAAUACUAAUACUAAUACUAAUACUAAUACUAAUGCUAAUACUAAUAUUAAUACUAAUAAUAAUACUAAUACUGAUACUUACUGAUACUGAUAAUGAUACUGAUAUUGAUAUUGAUAUUGAUACUGAUAAUGAUACUGAUACUGAUACUUACACUGAUACUAACACUGAUACUGAUAUUGAUAUUGAUACUGAUACUGACACUGAUGUUGAUAUUGAUAAUGAUGUUGAUAGUCAUAUUGAUACUCAUAGUAAUAUUAAAAUUAAUACUGAUACUCAUACUAAUAUUAAUACUCAUAAUCAUACUGAUACUGUUACUAAUAUUGAUACUGAUACUGAUACUGAUACUGAUACUGAUGUUGAUACUAAUACUAAUAGUAAUACUAAUUAUACUGAUACUAAUACUAAUAUUGAUAUUAAUAUUGAUACAGAUACUGAUAUUGAUACUGAUACUGAUACUGAUACUGAUAUUGAUAGUGAUGCUCAUACUCAUACUGAUACUCAUACUGAAACUGAUACCGAUAUUGAUACUUGAAUUGAUGCUGGUACUUGUACUGAUACCGAUACUAAUACUGAUACGGAUACUUAUAUUGAUAUUAAUACUAAUAUUAGUAUUAAUACUAAUACUAUUAUUAAUAGUAAUAUUAAUACUAAUACUGAUACUAAUAUUAUUACUAAUACUAAUAUUAAUUCUAAAACUAAUUUUAAUGCUAUUGAACUAAUGCUAAUGAUACAUAUACUGAUAUUGAUACAGAUACAAAUAUUGAUACUGAUACUUAUACUGAUAUUGAUACUGAUACCGAUACUAAUACUGAUAUUGAUACGGGUAUUGAUAGUGAUAUUGGUACUGAUACUGAUACUGAUACUAAUACUGAUACCGAUACCGAUACUAAUAUUGAUACGGAUACUUAUACUGAUAUUAAUACUAAUAUUUGUACUAAUACUAUUACUAAAAGUAAUACUAAAAGUAAUAAUAAUACUAAUACUAAUACUAAUACUAAUACUAAUACUAAUACUAAUACUAAUACUAAUACUAAUACUAAUACUAAUACUAAUACUAAUACUAAUACUAAUACUACUAAUACUACUACUAAUACAAAUAUUAUUACUAAUACUAAUAUGGGCAAAUUACCAAAACCCCCCUGAGGUAAGCCUAAAUAACAAAAAUCCCCCCCACGUUCUCGUAAUUACGAAAACCCCCCUUGACUAACGGUUGACCGAAUUUUUUUAACCGAAAACGUGAAAUGUCUAUUAUAUCCUUCUGUUAAAUAUUUGAAAAUAAAAGAAAAAAGCUGAAAAAGAAAUUAUUUUGAGGGUGGAGAUUUUGCUGAGCUCCGGCGGGAGUUUUCCGGUGAGUUGCUUCUUGAAGAGGAAGAGCGAUUCGAGUUUCGUGAGGUUGCUGAGUUGGGAUUUGGCCGGAGAUAUUUGCUUCGGAAAUCUCAGAUUCCCCAGCUCCGGCGGUAUUGCGCCGCCGAGGAAAUUUCCGGCGAGGUGGAUGAACUCGAGCGAUUUGAACGAGUCGUACUCCGGCGGGAUUGGACCGCUGAAGUAGCUUCCGGCGAAAUUCAGCACUUUGAGAGACUCCACCUAAGAGACGUCGGCCGGUAGGUUUCCAGCGAAGCUGUUGCUGAACGCGUCGAGAACGACCAAACUCCGGAGCCGCGGAAUCCCACUCGGAAAACCCCCGGAGAAAUUGUUCCUACUGAUGUCCAACGAUUCCAGGUUAGUGAGGUUGAAAACACCGGCGGGAAGUUAGCCGGAAAACGAGUUAUGACUCAGAUUAAGAUCGACGAGAUCGGAAAACAAGCCAAACUGCUUCCCGGAUAACGAGCCGCCGAGAUUCUUCAUCGACAGGUCUAAACCGACGAAUUUGGAGGAAUUGGCACUGCACCGAAUCCCGGUCCAAGAAUUGGUAUUACAACUACCCCCUAAGGGUAAUUUCGUGUACAAGGGCAAAAUUGGUAUUAUCGGAGGAAUAUUCGGGAGAAUCAAAAAGAUUCUAUCGAGUUUAACACCGUUAGAGCGAUUUGUAAGAUGUCUGCAUACCUCAUGGGGGUUUUCGUAAUUACGAGAACGUGGGGGGGUUUUCGUUACUUAGGCUUACCUCAGGGGGGUUUUCGUAAUUUGCCUUUAAUUCUAUUAUUAAUACUAAUAUGUUAAUAUUGUUCAUGUUAAUGCUAAUACUAAAUUUAAUGCUAGUGCUAAUCUGGAUAUGCUAAUUAUUAUGUUAAUGCUAAUUAUAAUUGUAAUUCUAAUAUUAUUCAAAUCCUUAUCCUAUUCAUAAUCAUAUUCAUAACACUUAUCAUAAUUCUAAUCCUAAUCAUAAUCAUAAUCCUAGUCCUAACACUAAUCAUAAGCCUAAUAAUUUUAAUACUAAUUAUGCAAAUGUUAAUGCUAAUGUUAAUUCUAAUAAUAAUAAUCUUAAUUCUAAUUAUAAUCCCAAACCUAAUGCUAAUCAUAAUCCUAAUACUAAUACAUGUCACUAAUUAUCGUAUUAAGCAUAAUCAUAAUCUUAAUUAUAAUUCUAAUACUAAUAUUAAUUAUAAUAUUAUAUUAAUCCUAAUAUUAAUAUUAAUUCUAAUAUUAAUUCAUAAUCCUAAUAUUAAUUAUAAUAUUAUAUUAAUCCUAAUUACAAUCCGAAUCCUGUUUCUAGUAUUCAUACUAAUACUAAUUCAAAGAAUAUUAAUUGUAAUUGUAAUUCUAAUUCUAAUGCUAAUAUUAAUCACAAAUUCUGAUUUUGUAUCAAUAUCUUUUUUUGCAAUGAUCUAUUAUUUUUUUAUAAAAAAACAUUUAUUUUCAAUCUCGAACCUUUACAUCAAAUUUCUCAUGUGUGGUAGCUGAAGCAUCAAAAAACACAUAUUAAAUAUAUUAGAAAUUAAUAUUAAUUAUAUUAUCAAACACUGACAUUAAAAUUAUUUAUAAUAUUAAAAGGGUAUAAGCAAACGUUAAGACGGAAAAGAACAAUAGUCGUUGUUAAUAAGAUAAAUUAUGAAAAUUCUCCCGAACUUAGGCUAAAUUACAGUAAACACCCCACUUAUCGGUGAUUACCAAAAUCCCCCUGAUGUUUGUUUUUGUCUUACACGACCCCCUUAUGGUGUGAUUUUUUUACGGAAUUUUUUUUAUUCCAUGUAAUAUCCCAAAAUAUAUGGAUUCUACCCUUGCAGACGUGACAUUUCUUUUUUAUCGUACUUUUUAAAUACAAAAAAAUACCCUCAGGGGUGGUCAUGGUAAUAAUAAAAAAUUGUGAAAGUGUUAUUUACGAAGAAUAAAGAUUUCGUGUAAAGUCCCCUGAGGGUAAUUUUUGUCUUUAAAAAGUACCAUAAAGAAAUGUCGCGUGUGCAAGGUAUAAUCAGCAUUUUUCGUUGAAUAUUCCACGUAAUAACAAAAAUUCCUUGAAAAAUCAUAACAUAAGGGGUCGAUGUAAGACGGAAACAAACAUCAGGGAUUUUCGUAAUUACGAAUAUGUGAGGGUGUUUUUCUUCAUUUAGCCUAAGUUCAGGUGGUUUUCAUAAGUUAUCCUAGUUAAUAUACAACUUAAACUCAUUUACACGUAUAACCAUAUGUUAGAAACUAACAUAAAGGCUGAUGCUAUUGAAAAUAGAUCAAAUUUCAAGUAAACAAAAGUCACUGUAAAAUGCUUAUAUAAAUAAAAAAAAUAAAAAAAUAAAAAUUAAUUGAUAUACUAAAUAUAUAGAAUAUGAAAGAAUUUAUGGUCCCGAAUUCGUAUUAUACAGAGAUGUUAUCUUAAGUGUUAUGACACUUGAACAAACAUGCAGCGGAAAUAUAAAGAUAAAAGAACAAUACUCAGAAUUAAAAAUGUUCACAAGUAAAGACUUGUGAACUUGCCCUUUACAGGACGAAAAAUAUAUUAAAAUCAGUAUUCCAAGAAUACAAACAGAAGAGUGCGAAAACUUCUUCCUUAUGAAUGAAUCUUUUUCAAGAUCAUUCUUACAAUCAAAUCUAGAUACUAAAAGAAAAAUAUUAAAAAUUCUAGAUUUCAAAGAAUGUACUCAUAAGGAGUACGUAAAACAGAUCCUAGAAAACAAUCUAAAAUUCUCGAGAUUAAUACUUUAGCUCUCUUUUGUUCUCUCGAAAUCUAUGUCAUUCUUGAGUCUUGAGUUUGGUAUUUAUAGACUUGCCAAGCUUCCACUCCUCAGCCCAUGACCUGCAAGAAAACCAACCACAAGAGCACUCAAGAUAAUGGGUUAGUGGGUUAGUUAGGAAGUUAAGAUAAAUUCCAUAAUUAAAUCCACUAAGCACUACUUAACCCUACUUAGCCCACUAACUAAGAUUUAGUUAAGAAGUUAAGAAAAGUUAAAAACACAUUGUGAAAUUAAUUCACGUGUUUCAAACUCCCCCUUUUUAACUUUCUGAUCAAAACUAAAUCGUAGUCAAAGACUCCCCCUGAGAUAUUGCUUGAACUCCCCCUGAAUUUGAUACCAUUUGAAAAACAUAGAAACAAUAAAUUAAAACCAAAUUCAGCAAGAUAGUCCAACAAAAGAAAAAAUCAAAGUGCAGUCCUAAACAAAAGUUCAGAGGGAAAAUAAACAAAACACAAACAAAAAAAAAUUGUUCAUGAAAACAAUCUAAAGUAAAAUAUCCAAAGUCUCCAAGGUCUCCUCAGUUUCAGCUGCUGCUCCUCCUCCAUCACUAGAUCCACUGCUUUCUUCUUGAGCUUCCCCCUCUUUCUUUGCUUCCUCUUCAUUGACUCCUUGCUCUCUGCCUCUAGCAUCCAAAGGAUGAGAUGUUCCUGCUUCAGUUUCAUGAUCUUUUUCUCCCCCUUUUUGAUCAGAAAGAGCCUUCUGAAUCAUCUCCACCAUGGACUGAUGAUAGGUAAUCUGAGCUAGAGAAUGAGUAAGCUGCUGCAAUAGAAGAUCUCUAGGAACAGACACAAGAAGGUUAGAAGUGUUGUCAACAUGAGUUGCAACACCCUCAGUACCAAGAUUAUUUUGACCUGAUUCAGUUGAGAGAAAAUUAUCUCCAUUCCAGGGAAGAUCUUGAACAUGAGGAGCUCUCAGAAAAUUUUGGGAAACAGUGAUCAUGCCUUGUGGAGUGUGAAGAUAUUCUGAAUCAUCUUGGCCCAAAUUUUGAGAGAGUAAAAUGGAGUAGAUAAGAGAGGGAUAGGGAAGAUAAGUGGAGGGUGAAAUUUUCUGGGCAAGAUGACCAAUAGUUUCAAAGAACAGUUUACCAAAAUCCACUGGUAAUCCCAUCCCCAAUUUGUACAUGAGUACAGCAUGAGGUUUAGUUACCACAGAGACAUUUUUGGAUGGAAUCCAAUUCAUCACUGUGAGUCUAAACAAGACAGAGUAAAAAGCAGUGAGUUGAGAGACUUGAAAUUUUCUUGGGUGUGCAGGCCAACUUCUUAAACGGUUUCCAGAAAUAACUUUGCAAAUCUCAGUAAAAUCACCAUAAUUAUCCUCAUCAAUCACAGUAGGAGUUUGUAAAUGAGAGUUGAUAAUUUUGGGAGAGAAAGAAAAAAUUGCAUUGCGCACAAAAACUUUGCCAAAGUUUGGAGAGUUUUUCUUUAAAAAAGAAGUUUGCAAAUUAGCAUAAAAUUCCUUCACAACCAAGGGAUCAUAAGAGCAGGCAAUCUCAACUAGGUUAAGGAUUUUUCUUUGGUGAAGAAAAGCAGUUAUCCUAUGCCUAUCAAAUUCUUCCUUAGAAAUUUUCUUCUCCUCAAUGAAUUGACAAUUCAUAACUUGAGGACUCAACAGUGAAUCAGAUUCAAAAUAAAAGUGAGGACUGAAGGCAUUGGUUACCUCAAAAGGAGUUGACAAAUUCUUCCCAUCCAAGUCUGGUUCCUCUUCUUCUGAGGAGGCAUCAUCUUCUGAAUCUUCAAGCUCAUCAGGGACAUAUGCUGGUUCAGGUGAUGCAGCAAGUGGGGCAACACCUUCUUCUUGCUGAGAAGAGUCUUCAGAGGAUUCACUGUCAGAAUCAGAGGAGGGCAAAUUUUUGCGAAAAGCAGCAAGAGGAACCUCCCAACUGUCAUCACUUUUCUCUGGUUCUUCAGGCUGAGGAGGAGUUGCAUCUGCUUGAACUGCUGCUUCUGCCAGGGUUUCCAGAGGAUCUCCAUGAGGUGCUGAUGGAGUUUCUUCUGUAGUGGUGAAGUCUUGAGCAUCCACAGAUGGAAUGUCUACAUGUUCUGCUGAUGACAUUCCAGAAAAAUCAGGCAUUUCUUCAUCCUGAUAAGGGCCAGCAUUCUCAGCAGCAUUCUGAGGAGCAUUUUCUGAAACAGUAGGUGCAGCAGCAUCUUCUGGAGCAUGUGCAGCAACACCUUCAGAAACAGGUGCAGCAGCAUCUUCUGUAACAGAAUGUUGAGAGGCUGCUGUUGCCAUGCUGGGCUGUGACGUCUCCCCCUGAGUUGAUGCUGGAGAAGGUGAGUUGUUGGAUGAUGACUCGGAGGAGCUGGAGGACAUGGCUUGAGCCUGUGGUGCAGCAAAGGUAGGAUCCCCUGCUUCAUCAUCAGUUUCUUCAUCUACUAGAUGAAGACCUCUUCGUGGAUUUGACUGAACUGGAGUGCGGCCACCUCUGCCUCCUCUUCUUCCACCUCUGCUUCCUCUUCGGGGAGAGUGUUCUCCUCUUCGGCGUUGUGGCACCGUAGUGUUCAGAUCUGGAAAAGGGUUCGUGCGCUUGGACCGGCGCGUUGGAAACCUUUGCGGUGGAAGAGGGACCCACAAAAUCAAAAUUAUCUGGGUCAAUCGGGUUCAGCUCAUCUCCGGGCUCAAUGUAGCUGAUUGGAACAGCGUCAAAGUUUAUUGGAUGAAUGAUGAUGGCCAGAUUUGGGUCUGCUGGUACAGGUGCUGCAGCAUUGUUGUGAACAUCACCAUCGGCGGCUGGAGGAGGAUUUCUAGGUGGGGAUGCCAUGAUACAGUAGAUAAAGGAAAAUAGCUUCUUUGUGCUUUUGAUUUUUGAGUGUGAAUUUUUGAAGGAUUAAGCACGAAAUUUAUAAGCCCUAGUUUUGGCUGAGGAAGGGAAAAAAAAAAAAACGAAGUGGGGAAGAUGAAGAAGUGGGGUGCGUUUUUCUUGGAGAAAGUGUGUUUAAGGAGAAUAAAAUUUCCUUGGCAGUUUAAAGAAGAACCGUGACACAUGGCACAAUAAGGAGUGGACUUAGUGGAAAAUAAGGAAUUAAUCCAUGUACCCAUGACCCAUAUAAAUAGGGAUAAUUCAAUAAAAAUAAAAAAUAAAUACCGUAGCACUCAUGAAAUAUUCACAAAAAUAGAAAAACACAUUUAUUAAUGAUUAAUAGAGAGAAAAAUUUGCUGACAGGCAUAGAUACAAUUAUAUAUAUUUAUUAUAUUUCUUUAUAUAUAUAUAUAUAUAUAUAUAUAUAUAUAUAUAUAUAUAUAUAUAUAUAUUUUUUUUUUUUUUUUUUUUUUUUUUUUUUUUUAUAAUAAAUAUAUAAUUAUAUAUAAACUCUUAUUUUCAAGUCAAACAAUUCACAUGGAACAUGAUCAAGUGUUCAGUUUGAAGGUUCCUCAGUUACUAAGAUAUGACUAUCAAAAUAGAGGAGUUUGACUUAUGUGAGUGUAGUUAUUGGCUAAAUGUUUACAUGAAGCAUGAUCACGUUUCAAGGUGAAAGACUUCCAGUUACUGAUUUAGAAAAUAAUACAUCACAGUGAAGUCAAUAUUUAAUGAAGCUAAUGCUUCAGUAAAUUGUGUUGCAGCUUAAGAUAUUUGAUGAGGUGCUGCAACACGUUUCAGGACAUGUUUAUUGAGUACACAUCCCGAGAGAUUUUCUGAGUUUUGAAAACCUCUCAUAAUAUAAUGCCUUUGUAAAGAUGUCAGCUAGCUGAUCUUCUGUAGUAAUGUACUUUAAGCACACAAUAUUUUUCUCAACUAUAUCACGAAUAAAAUGAUGUUUAAUAUCUAUGUGUUUAGUUCAUGAGUGUUGAACAGGAUUUUUUGAAAUGUAAUAGCACUUGAAUUAUCACAAUAUAUGGUCAGGGUAUCACUGGCUAACCCAUAAUCCCCCAACAUUUGUUUCAUCCAAAUUAGUUGACCACAACACCCUCCAGCAGCUACAUAUUCUGAUUCAGCUGUUGAAAGAGAUACACAGUUUUGCUUUCUACUAAACCAAGAAACUAGAUUAUUCCCCAGAAAGAAACAUGCACCUGAGGUGCUUUUUCUGUCACUAAUAUCCCCAGCCCAAUCAGAAUCACUGAAGCCUAUCAAGUUUGUAUUUGUGUCUUUGAAAAACUGAAUCCCUAAGUCUACUGUACCUGCAACAUACCUAAUAAUCCUCUUCACAGCUUUAAGAUGAGUGACCUUGGGAUUAGCUUGAUAUCUGGCACACACACAAACACUAAACAUAAUGUCAGGCCUGCUUGCUGUUAGAUACAGAAGGCUUCCAAUCAUGCUUCUGUAGAGAGUGCUGUCGACAUCUUCUGCAACAUCAUCCUUAGACAGUUUUUGGCUGGAACCCAUUGGAGUUUUCAUGUGCUUGGCUGAUUCCAACUCAAACCUUUUGACCAGAUUGAGAGCAUACUUCUUUUGAUUCACAAACAUUCCUUCACCUGUCUGUUUGAUUUGGAGUCCUAAGAAAUAAUUCAACUCCCCUACCAUACUCAUUUCAAAAGUGUGAGACAUAGAAUCUACAAAAGACUGCAAAAGGUUAGCACAAGUAGAGCCAAAAACAAUGUCAUCAACAUAUAUCUGAACAAUAAUGAUAUGAUUAUUAGUUCUUCUAACAAACAAGGUUCUGUCUGCCUCCCCUCUUUUGAACUGUAUUUCAAGUAAGAAGUCAGUGAGUCUUUGAUACCAAGCUCUAGGAGCUUGUUUAAGACCAUACAGUGCCUUCUUAAGCUUGAAAACAUGAUUAGGUUUGGCAGAAUCUUCAAAACCCUUUGGCUGUUCUACAUAUGCUUCUUCAUUUAAAACUCCAUUCAGAAAUGCACUUUUGAUAUCCAUCUGAUACAGUUUGAUUUUAAGAAAGCAGGCUAUAGCAAGAAGUAAUCUAAUAGAUUCAAUUCUAGCUACUGGAGCAAAAGUCUCAUCAAAGUCUAUGCCCUCAAUUUGAGUGUAUCCUUUUGCUACUAACCUAGCCUUGUUUCUAACAACUGUACCUUUUUCAUCAGUUUUGUUUUUGAAGAUCCACUUAGUUCCUAUUACAUUUACAUGGCUUGGUCUGGGAACUAAGUACCAAACAUCAUUCCUGAUGAAUUGAUUCAACUCUUCAUGCAUUGCAUUGACCCAGAAUUCAUCCUUCAGAGCUUCUGCAAUAUUCCUUGGUUCCACUGAAGACACAAAACAAGUGGUUCCAGUUAGUGCACAUUCAGAAGAUAAAUUUGCAAAUCUUACCAUAUCUCUGUAGUUUACUCUCUCUUUUCUUCUGGUCCUUAUUCCAUCAAAGAUAUCUCCCACUACUUGAGUAGAUGGGUGAUUUUUCUGGAUUCUGCUUGAUGGUUCCUUUCUGCAGACAUCGAAGGUUGGCUGUAAUUCAGUCUCUGUAGGAUGUGCUGAGUCAGAUGUGGUGACACUUGGCUCAACACCUUCUUCUCUUAAGACUGGACUGUUUGUGUCUGGGCUCUCUGUGACAGAAGUGUCUUCUUCUGUUGUUUCUCUUUCAGCAAUUAAGUCAUCAACUUCAUCUUCAGCUGUUUUACUGCGGAGAUCAGCAAAGUCAUCAAAUACCACAUUUACAGAUUCAAUAAUGAUUCGAGUUCUUAGAUUGUAUACUCUAUAAGCAUGACUGUUAUUAGAGUAUCCCAUAAAUAAACACAAAUCACUUUUUGAAUCAAACUUAGCUAGAUGAUCUCUAUCAUUUAGAACAUAGCAGACACAUCCAAACACAUGCAUGUAUUCUAGAUUAGGUUUCUUACCAUAAAGAAUUUCAUAUGAAGUCAUCAUAGAUCCUAAUCUUAGAUACACACGGUUUGAGAUGUGACAGGCUGUGUUGACAGCCUCAGCCCAAAACCUCUUAGACAGAUUUUUUGCACUCAUCAUCACCCUAGCCAUUUCUUGGAUGGUUCUGUUUUUUCUUUCAGCAAUGCCAUUUUGCUGAGGAGUUUUUGGAGCAGAAAAUUCAUGCUUUAUACCCUUUUUAUUACAAAAUGCAAGAAAUAAAGCAUUCUCAAAUUCUUUUCCAUGAUCAGAUCUUAUCCUACGUACAGAAACUUGAAAUUGAGUUCUAACAAACCUGUACAAAUUUUUGAAUACAUCAAAAGUGUCUGAUUUUUCUCUUAAAAAGUACACCCAAGUAUACCUUGAAAAAUCAUCAACACACACAAAGACAUAUUUUUUACCACCUAGGCUUUCUACCUCUAUAGGACCCAUAAGAUCCAUAUGUACUAGUUCAAAACAGAUAGUGGUACCAACGUGUUGCAACACUUUGUGUGGUACUCUGGUUUGUUUUCCCUUCUGGCACAUUCCACAUAUAGGAAUAUCCUUGAUCUUGAGAUCUGGUACUCCUCUUAUAGCAUUGUACUUGUUGAGCAGCUUCAGAUUCUUGAAAUUUGUGUGGCCUAGUUUCUGAUGCCACAGCUCUACUUCACUUACUCUUGAGCUCUUGCAUGAGAUGGUGUCACCUGUUUGAUAGCAAUUAUCCAUUGAUCUGGAACCUGUAAGUACACAAUGAUUUUGAUUAUCAAACACAGAACAACAGUAUUUAUCAAAUUCUACACGUAGAUCAUCAUCACACAAUUGACUGAUACUGAUGAGGUUUGACCCCAAUCCUUCAACAUGUAACACAUUUGAGAGUUUUGGAAGCCCCUCAAUACUGAGUGUUCCACGUCCAACCACUUUGCCUUUAGCUCCUCCUCCAUAGGUUACGCGUCCUCCAUUAAGUGUGUGGUAGUUUGAUAGAAAUUCCUUGGUUCCAGUCAUGUGCCUAGAGCAUCCACUAUCAAAGUACCAUGAACCUGAAAUGUUAGCAUUUAAAGAGGUGUAUACUGCCUUGCACAAAAGUUUACCUUUGGGAGUCCAUAUUUUACACUCCUUUUUGGUAGAUUCUACCUUUUUCUUUGAGGUGUUCCUUGAAGUGUUGUGGAUUAUUUUAUACAGCAUUUUGUCACUGCUGAGUUUUUCACAAAAUGGACAAAUGUGUCCUGGUGAGAAACAGUAAUGACAAACAUAACCUCUUAUUCUGGAAUCUGGAGUGGUGACUGUGGACUUCCUGCAAUCCUUUCUGUUUGCACCUUUUUCUUUUACAAAGACAAUUUCUUUCUUCUUAACUGGCUUCAUUUGUUUUUUGAACCCUAGCCCUUCAUGUUUGUAGUGCUUUUCCAUUGACACAAUCUCUUCGAGUUUAGUUGUGCCAGUGUUCAUCCUCUUGAUUGCUAGAGUUGCCUUUUUUAGUUCUUCUUUCACCUUUGCCAGUUCAAGAUCCUUCUUGGUGAUUCCAACCUCCAAGUGUGUGAUUGUUUCUUUGAGGGAGGAAUUUUCCUUGUUGGCUGCAUCUAGAGCUUGAGUCUUCUUCUCCAGGUCAAGAGUAAGUUUUCUACACAUUUCUUCCUCAUCACUAGUUGCUUCAAUGCUGGAUUCUGCUGCAUUUAAAGAAAUAGAGUUUAAACAUGUAUAAUGAUCAGUGUUUAACUCAGAAAUUUCAGUUACUGAAAGUGUUUCAGAAAGUGUUGCAGCAUCCAGGGAGACUCUUUGUGAUUCUGUUUCAGAAGCAUUUCCAGUGAUAUAUCUGACAGAGAGAGCUUGUUUAGUGGAUUGCUGUUCCUCUGUUUGUUCAGGUUGCUCUUCCUCCUCAUCACUGACAGCACAAAUCAAACUCAUUCCUCUUCUUCUUAAGGUAUUUGCACACUCAUUUGCAUAAUGUCCAAAUCCUGAACAAGCCCUGCAUUUAAUGUGAUCUAAGUUAGGUGGUUCAGAAUUUGAACGAACAAAUGAAGAAUUUUUAGAAGUGUUCUGAGAAGGUGUUUGAGAAAAUGUUCUCUGUGAAGUAGAUCUGUUUCGGGGCUGAGUUUGUCGAUUUUGCGAAGAGCCAUCUGGAAAUAAUUGUCUGGGCUUGAUUCCACCUCGCCUGUAUGCCCUAUUGAAUUUCUGAAUUUGGAAUGCAACAUUGUUGAGACAUUCCUCUGCAUCAUCAUCAAACUCCGGAGCAACAUCUUCUUUCUCCAAUUCUGCCUGAAGUGCAUUUGAGAUAGCCUUUCCUUUCUCCUUUCUUUGAUCUUCGAAGUUCAUCUCUCUGGACUUGAGACUUCCAAUUAAUUCGUCCAGCCGUAGAGAUGAUGUAUCUUUAGCCUCCUCAAUAGCAGUAACCGUCAUGCUGAACCUUUCUGGAAGAGUUCUCAAUACCUUAUUUACCAGUGUCUCGUUGCUUAAAGGACCACCUAAGGAUUGAAAUUCAUUAGCCAAAUCAAUCAACUUCUCAUUGUACUGAGAAAUUGUUUCAGUUUCCUCCAUUCUCAGUCUCUCAAAUUUGGAAGAGAGUAAUCUGAGCUUGGUUCUUCUGACACUAUCUGAUCCUUCACAAUGUAGCUGUAGAACCUCCCAUGCAUCAUUUGCAGAAGUGCAUACUGAGAUCAAUUUAAACAUUGUUAAAUCUACUGAAUUGAAGAUUGCAUUCAACGCCUUGGAGUUUUGAUUCGCAUUUGAUAGAUCAUCUGUUGUCCACCGUAACUCUGGUGUUGGAAAUACAUCCCCAUCUGCAUCUGUGAUUGUUGGUGCCUUCCAUCCAGUGAGAAUGGAUCUCCAGGCUCUCUCAUCAAUGGCUUUGAUGUAUGCCCUCAUCUUGACUUUCCAGUAGGUGUAGUUUGUGCCGUCGAGUACAGGAGGUCGCAUAGAAGCAGUCAUCUGAGUAUCCAUCACGAAUUCGUUUCUGAAAAAGAAAAAUAGGAACUAACACUUAGUAUACGUCAAGUGUUGGCUCUGAUACCAAUUGAAAGAAUUUAUGGUCCCGAAUUCGUAUUAUACAGAGAUGUUAUCUUAAGUGUUAUGACACUUGAACAAACAUGCAGCGGAAAUAUAAAGAUAAAAGAACAAUACUCAGAAUUAAAAAUGUUCACAAGUAAAGACUUGUGAACUUGCCCUUUACAGGACGAAAAAUAUAUUAAAAUCAGUAUUCCAAGAAUACAAACAGAAGAGUGCGAAAACUUCUUCCUUAUGAAUGAAUCUUUUUCAAGAUCAUUCUUACAAUCAAAUCUAGAUACUAAAAGAAAAAUAUUAAAAAUUCUAGAUUUCAAAGAAUGUACUCAUAAGGAGUACGUAAAACAGAUCCUAGAAAACAAUCUAAAAUUCUCGAGAUUAAAACUUUAGCUCUCUUUUGUUCUCUCGAAAUCUAUGUCAUUCUUGAGUCUUGAGUUUGGUAUUUAUAGACUUGCCAAGCUUCCACUCCUCAGCCCAUGACCUGCAAGAAAACCAACCACAAGAGCACUCAAGAUAAUGGGUUAGUGGGUUAGUUAGGAAGUUAAGAUAAAUUCCAUAAUUAAAUCCACUAAGCACUACUUAACCCUACUUAGCCCACUAACUAAGAUUUAGUUUAGAAGUUAAGAAAAGUUAAAAACACAUUGUGAAAUUAAUUCACGUGUUUCAGAAUAUAUAGUAUAUACGAUCAUUAUACAUUUUAAACAAAUCAAUUGAUAUUCUUAACGUUUGGUAUUAAAUAAAGUGAAUAAACGAAUUUAAUACCAAAGAUUUAGAAUAACAUUGUUAUAUUUUGAAAUAUAUAAAAUCAGUUGUUUUUUUUAAUCAAUUGAUUAAACUUAACUUAUGUUAUUCAAUUUAUUAGAAUAAUCAUGAUAAAGUUUGUAUUUUAAUUAGUAUAUAAUUUAAAAGGCUAAAUCAAUCGUAAAAUUUAUUGUCACCGGAUUCAGUGAAGAAAAAAUAACUGGUUAAAUAAUAACAUGAAAUUCAUGUAGUAUUAUUUUCAAUAUGGUAAAUAAUGGGGAGUACAUUACUCUACACAUAGUAGAAAAAAAAUAGUGUCAAUUUUCGCAAUAUUGUAAAUUCGAACAUUUCUUUUUCUUUUUUUACAGAUAAUAUUAAUAUAUAAUAUUAAAUUAGUAAAAAAAACAUAUUAUAUGGUCAUGUUCAUGUAAAAUGUAUCAUAUCAAAUAAUUUAUUCUGCAAUAUUUUGUUAAUAUAAAUCCAAGUUUAUGAAUUAAAAUACAAAAUUUCCGUAACACCACCAAUCACAUGCAAUUAUAAUAAGGGAAGAUUUUAAAUUAAAUUUAACUAAUUUCAAAUUAAAUUAGUUAUAAAAUUUUAAAAAAGUUAUUUAGAGUUUCCAAGAAAGUUGAUAUAUUUAGAGCAUUUUAUAAAUGGUAGGAUAUAAAUAUAUUAAUAAAAUAAUUAAAUAUAUUUAAUUAUUUUAAUUUUGUAAAAUGAUGACAUGUUUUUUGAUGAUUUAUUUCCACCAAUCAAUUCGCCACUUGGGAUGAAAUUGAGACAUAUCACCAAUUAAAAUUGCUAAAUGUCAAUCAAUUAGGUGUGGAAUUCAACUUUUAUAUAUUAUAUAGAUUCUACUAUUCAACUCAUAGUAUAUCUUGAGAAGGGUAUGUGACAAUGAUGUCCAACUAAUCAUCAUUUUCAUAACUUAUCCCAUGACUAAUUUUAUUAAUUGAAAAAUACUAUAAAGUGUAACAAAUCAUGCCUGUGACUAUAGUACCAAACCCUCGUUUAUAAUAUAAUAAUUUAUGAUUAUGCAUACUAAAUUGCUAGGCAAUUAAUAAACAAGAAAAAAUAGAAUCAUGAUUGACCCUCCUAUUAAUUAUUUGACAAAGUAGAUAUAUGACCAAACACUUAUGUUUAAUUGUGUUUGAAAAAAAAAAAACACUUAUGUUUAAUUGUCCUUAUCGUAUUGUUAAUGAUUUUGUAAAUGGAAGUUUGGUCUCAUUUACUUCUUGAUGUAGCUAGAUGAAGUGUCGUGUGUGAAUGAUUUAUAAGUCGUAUUAAAUCAUGUAUCUUGAAAUAAUAAAAAUUAAGUGUCGGAGUGUAAUCGUCGGGAAUUUCAUGGCGUGUCACAUAGCGUGUUAAGUGGUUUUGCGGGAAAGACGAACAAGUACCACAUUCUUAGGUCAACCCGAAGCUCGUGGCAUUUGAAUAUGCGUUCUUAAACAACUCUCCAAUUCGACCUUUUGAACUACUCAUUUCAAGUGAUCCCCAAUCAGGUUGGCUAUGAAUCUAUUUUUCGAAAUCUUAUAUAUAAAUUGAGUUAACGCUAGAGCAAACCUAGGGUAACCCUAAUGGUAUUUUUAUAAUUUUUUUUUCUCCACUAAUUUUUUAACUAACUUUUCUUUUUAUUUCUUUUUAUUUCUUACCCCAAAGGAACGGUUCCACUUUUUUUGGGUUCUUUCCACCUACACCCGGUGAUAAAUACCGGUAUCGGGUGGGUCUUCUACUGAUACGUGUUAUAUUUAAUUAUUUAUUAUAUAUUCCUCAUCUUAGGUUAAGUUUUAGGGGUUUUAGAUAAAUACAAAAAAGUACAUGUGUCAGCAGAAAACCCACCCGUAAGAUCGAAGGAGCCAUUUCUUUGUUAUUCUCGUGAGCUGAUAUUCUCGUGAGUUACCUAUUCUAUGAUAUACGUUUUUGAAACUUUUGUCGCGUUAAUCCUUGCACUGCUUAUAAAGAAACUAUACGUAUUAUUAUUCUAUUAUCGACAGUUAAUAUUUUCCCGAUGCAGAUAAGCGAGAUCCUAGACUCGGAGUUAUUGGGCGAAGGGCUUAUUCCGACUCUACAACAUGCACAUGAUAACCUAUUAGUCGAAAACCCGCUCACCGUUCCUUACAGAGCAACAACUUACGGUCAGGUAAUAAAUACAUCAUCGUUACCGUUUUCUCCAACAUUAUUACACUUGUAAAUAUUUGUUCGUCGAAGUUAUUAAAUUCCCGUAAUUUUCUUGAUUACCUUUCAGCUGGUCGAGUGCACAUAUUUACGGGAUAUGCAUGAUUUAGUUAAUAGAGAAGCAGAAUUAUCGGACGGUAUUCGUCUUGUUCCGAGUGGGAUGGCUGGUAUUUUAGGCGUCAAAAAGCAGCAGCAAUUUGCAAUGCAUUGUGAUGCACUUAAAGAAGAAAUCAAACUGGUAACGAUUACGCAAUUAACCGAGAGAAUAUUCCUUCAACAUAAACAAAUGUUAGUUAUUCAAUCGAAUUAAUAUAUUAUCUUGUGCAGCUUUCGGAGCCUUUUAAAGUUUUCGAUUUUGAUUUCUGGAGACGGCCGGACAGUUCUUCUGAAACCGAGAUGCAUAUAAAGACUACGAACGAUGGUACAGUUCAUGCUAUCAUCUCAUGGUACACGAUUCAGCUCAUAGGUCAUUGUUUUUCGUGUAUUAUUCAGUUUUAUUUUUCUUUUUCCGUUCGUCUCUGUGUGUUUUGUGUGUGUAUUUUGUACGACGAGAAUGUACUCAGUAGGUCGAGUUACGAACGUUUUUUCGUCUUUCAGGUGGUUGCUUCAGCUAGACAGUGAAGGAACAAUCUUCUAUUCCACAGAGCCGAAUUGGAUACGAUGUCCUGAUGAUGUAAGAGAGUUGGAAUCAUCUUCCAAUAGUAAGUUCAUUAUUAUAAUUAUUAAAAAGUAAAUUUAUUUUUAAUUAUCGUCUUUCUUGCAAUGAAUUAGUGAUGUAAUAAUAAUAUUGUACGUUGUGCUUAAUUAGGUUCUGAUAAUUGGUGUGACCAUUGGAAACAAAGUGUUUGGUUCCCACAAAGCGUAGAUCUGCAUGUCUUAAAAGAUGAAGAGGUUCACUUACACGCUUUACAUACCGAAACGAGCAUCUCAUAUGACUUCAAAACUUUAAACGAAAAGCGACAGGUGGCGCAUGUUGAUGCCUGUACCGACGAUUUUCAGAUUGUUCUGUCACCAGAAAGAAACGCAUUAUACGGAGAUAGUAGUUGGAGAUUUUUAAUGCUUAACGCUAUUGAAAAAGCUGUAAGAUUCUUCCAUACUCGAUAAAAUAUAAUCGGCUUGAUCCAAGUAUUAUUAGCUGUUUAAUAAUUUAUUUUAUUUUUCCCAUUUUCAGUUGCGUCAAAGAACCGAUCCCUUAUGUUUAGUUGCGGACGAUAGUAUUUUCUUGGCAAUUGCUAUUGCCCGUCUUUCAAAGAGUUCGAAUGUGAUUCCUUUAUUUCCGGGACUUGGAAAGAAGGGUUUGCAAUAUCUGCACAAGGUUUGUGCAGCAAAUAGCUUCACUAUGGAUCGCAUUGAAAGCAUAUCGAAGAAGGAUUUGCUAUCUACAAUGCAAGAUUCACACCAAAGAAAGGUAAAUUAAACUUACGUUUAGAUAUUUCAGUUACUUCGAAUAAUUAAUUGUCGAGCUGAUUUACGGUAUUUUGAAAUGUCUUCUUGACUAUUUAUCAUGGGUUGUCUCUCGUUUUUUUAUUUAUUUAUUUAUUAUUGUUAUGUAUAGCUAUUGGCUUUAAACAUAAAAGGUGCAUUUUCGUUUUUUCAGAUAAACUUAUUGGUUGCGGAACCGUUUUACUAUGGAAAUGAUAAUGCACUUCCAUGGCAAAAUCUGCGAUUUUGGUAGGUGUUACCUAAUUCAUGAUCCAAUUUUCCAAUGCAUAAUUAUCAGGAAAUUGCAUAGUCACGUUUCUCGUCUUCAUAAUUUCAUAGGAAGGAAAGAACUUUGCUGGAUUCGAUUCUAUCAAAAGAUGUGCUAAUAAUGCCUUGUAAAGGACUGUUGAAAGUUUGCGCAAUGUACCUACCCGUAAGUUGCCAAGGAAUAUUCUCUCACUCGAAUAAUAUCUAUACUAUACCAAAACCUAAAGACAUCAUUUUUUUUCUUCGAUUUUCUGCAGAACCUAUGGAGAAGUCGAUGUUGUCUGAAAGAAGUUGAAGGGUUCGACCAUUCAAUCGUAAAUACCACAUUGGGAGCAUGUGGAGAUUUGCCCCUUACUGAAGAAAGUCCUUUUCUGCCCUUUUACGUUUGGCAGUGUGGAGAAACCAAGGUAUUCUUGUUUUAUUAUUACGAUUUUCGAUCCGUUGUUCUUUUUUCUUCUUCUUAAUAAUGUUAUUGUAAUUUGUGUUUCAGAUACUCAGUGAAACGGCCACCGUCUUGGAGUUUGAUUUUUCAAAACCAAUGAGCUCGUGUUCUGGGAAAACUCCGGUAUUUUAUGAAACAAUAACCGACUUGAAUAUGUAUUUUUGUCUGAUAAGAUAUGAGCUUGAGCUCGACUCGAUUAGAACAAAAAUUAUAAAUCAAGUAUAACAAGAAUGACGUUAUUAUAUAUGUAUGCAUGUAUCUAUUUUUUGUUUUUCUAAAGCUCGAUAAAAUUUCCAAUAAGCUUAAACAAUCUCGGUUCGGUUCAUUUAUGCCACUACUUGUUUAUCAGAUUGAAUUUAGAGAAUCUGGAAUAUGCCAUGGAUUUGUGCUUUGGAUUGAUUGGGUUCUCGAAGCGGAGGAUAAUACCGUUUUGUCAACAGGGCCAGGUAUGUUUUUUUUUUUGGAUGAAUAAAUUAAUACGCUCAGUGCUAGUAUUUUUAUUUAAACAUUCUAAUUUUAAUCAACUCGAAAUUUGGUGUUGUUUCCUUUGGUAAGUGUACGUGUUUUCAUGAAGUUUGAUUAAUACUAUACUGUGAAUAUUUAAGAUAAACGACAUUGGAAACAAGCUGUGAAGCUUCGGGAAAAUUACAGUUUAUGUCCCUAAACUUUACCACUAAAACGAUUUAUGUCCUCAAACUUUUCCAUCCACGAAAUAUGUCCUCCAACUUGCCAUUUUUUAGCAAUUUAUGUUUUGCCGUCAAUUUCAUCAGUCAUCUUUGACGGAAAUAUCACGUGUGGCGCACGUGAUGUUGAUAUGGCUGUUAAAUGUGACGUGGAGUGACUUAUGGCAGUCAAAUGUUGAUCCGACACACAAACCAGUCGACAUCCAAUUUCUAACUCACUCCUUCAAUUCUCAAUUCUCACUCCACUCUUCAUCCCAUAAACACUAGCUAUCCAAUUCCAAAAUAUCUUUCAAUCGCGUAAACCUACUCCCAAAAUGUCCAAUCAAAUCUGUGUUAGAUAUUUUAUCGUAUAUACAUACGAAUUCCCAAGAACCAACAUGCUUGAAUCAACGAGAAUUAAACAGAAACAUAAACACGGAAGCGUACCUUACAUCAUGGAAUCAAAUCUUCGAAUCUCCACUGGAUUCGGGACAGGUCUUCCAAAGAAUCCGCAGUUCCUUAUUUUUCUCUCUAACGAUGGAUUUUAGAAGAGACGGAAUGAUUGCGUUUCUUUGGGGACCACGACCCUUUAUAUAACUGUAGAGUCCAGUUAUAUUAUAAUUGUGAUUCAGCCCCAUCAAUAAAUCACAAUUAAGCCCUAAUUGUCUCUACACAUUAGGCCCAUAAUUAUAGUCUAAUACCCAUAAGUCCAACCCAAUAAUCUUUAUUAUAUCACAAUUAAUUUGGACUUUCUUUUAGAUAGCCAUACACAUUUACUUCACAUAUGUGAGCCCACAUAAUUAUUGAAAUAAUUCCAACAAUCUCCCACUUGGGCCACAUAUGCUAUAUAUCUUAUAAAUGUGUAUACCUUAUGAGCUCAAAUAUUGCUAUCAUAUAAAAAAAAGGUAUUGCUUACAAUCUCGUCCAUUGACCAUACUAAUAUAGGACUAAAGAGGCUUUCGUCACAUUGAUCGUGUCUAAACCCAACAGUAAUCACAUAUACCAAUAUAGCCAAACGACAUAGAUCAAAUCAUGGUGUGUAGCAUGGAAAUUACAUACUAAUGUGAUCUUAACAUGCCUAUUUCCAACUGGUCCUACUUUAAACUUUAUUGAGACCAAACCUUUACAUAAUUGUACAAAGUGUAGCCAAAUGCUUUAUUUCUGCAGAAAACCAAUACACAAAAUUGUGUCCAAACAUAUCAUAGAGCUACCAAAAUGUAUUUAUAUGUACACAUACGUACAAACUCCCACUGAACCAAAAUAUCCUUAAAUGAUAUAACACCUACAUGAGCAAUGCUCAUGAAUACCUCAUGUGUUAAUCCUUUAGUAAGCGGAUCCGCAAUUGUGGAGUUUAUCUUAAUAUGCUCUAUGUACUGUUCACUUUGUACCUUUAACAACAAAGAACUUUCACAAGCUCUUGUUGUUGUUCGGAAGUAUAGCUGUUAAAUAUUGUCACCGUAUAACUUUAAUAAAAAUCAACAUGUGCAGCCUAAUGACAAGUGUUUCUAGCUAUAUUCAAAAUAAGAUGCCAAAAUUUACCAUAAAUUCUUAACCAUCGUGAAAAGAGCUUAAAGUGUUUUCUUAACACCCAUGACGAAAUAGCUCAAUCACUUAGGUCUACAUUAACCAAAAUGGAUCUAUACUUUAUACACGUCAUAAAAAUCAAAAUCAUGAAUAAACCACACGAUCUCCCAAAAUAUAUGAUUUUGAUAAAUGAGCAUAUGUAUAAAACUUACAUUCCCUAUAAUUACUGUAUAACCCAUUUGGCUGCUUUGCUAAAUGAUCCACUUUAUAGGGUUAUUCAAAUAUCUGCCUAACUUUAUGCACGUCUUAACCGAAUGCGCACAUUCUUUUAAAAUAUUUAUUGGGCAUUGAAAUGAGACUAAACAAGCCUCAUUUAUUGUGAGAUUAUCUCCCACUGAUCCUUGGGUAUGUACAAUCAUUAACUUUAUUUAUCUCAAAAUGCAUAUGAGAUAAUUAGCUCAGGAUUGUAACAUCAUUAACGGGAAUUUUAAUUUCAUUAAUGGACUACUUUAGUUUGCAAUCAAUAUCCUUCAAAUCUUUAAAUAUUAAGAUUUUAUGGUUGCACUUUAUUGUUCCAUAAACGUUACCAUUUGAGAAACAUAUUCCUUGUGUCCAUAAAUUUCUUAAUAGAGUCGAUAUGAGUGAAAUCUUUAAUGACUAAACGUAUCAUAUAUCUUUCAAUAUUGCCCAUUUGAAUUACAUUUGGUCUCAAUUAUUUGUAACCAAAGAAAUUCACACCUUAUGGCAUUUCGAUAAGAUCCUAAUGUCUUGUCAUUCUAAAUUUCAACUCAUCUUUAAUGCUUUAUUAUUUUAAGGUUGUUGAGUUUGCUCUUUAAGUAACAAUUAUCAAGACUUGAUUGGGGAAUUGUUCAACAUUGUCUUAUCAAAUCUCCAAAUCUACUUUUCAAACAAUGACAAGUAUAAAGACAUGUACAUUGUCAAAAGCAGUAUUAGGAAUCGAAUUGACUUAUCUUUAGAGACAAUGUCUAUAAUCUAAAUUUCUCCCCUCAAACUCAACAUCCUUAAAAUAUUUUAAAUUUCCCCUUUUAAAACAUAACAUACUGCAGCACUUAAUGUUUCUCCUAAAUAUACCUUAGUGAAGAACAAUGACUUAUCAUACUUCCUUGAAUGUCAUUGAAUGUUCUAUUCUUGAAUUUUGUACCAUUUUAAAUUGCUUAUGCAAGAUUUUACUGUAUGAGACUUUUACUUAAAUUAUAGGUCAAAUUUUGAAUUAUGAAAUAUACCAAACUUAAUGUUUUCAAAUGAACAAAUUAACUAAAUUUGUUCAAGAGAAAAUCUAAAUCCAUCUAAUGACGGUACCAAAUGUCUAUUUCAUAAUUCAAAAGAAAACCUAAGAGUCCUCAUAGUCUCAAUCCCAAAUCUUACAUAACCUUUAUAGAUGUAUAUCUUUCAACAUCAAUUAAAUGUUGGUUAUGUGAAUAACCCUUUAUAUACACAUUUAUGUGAACAGUGUAACCCAGGAUCUAUUCACUAAAUGUGUCUAGGUACAAAGUCAAAAUAUAUUUUAGAACAGAUUAAAGUGAGAAACAAGCAUAAUUACGUUAUUCAACGUACCUCAGAUGUAAACUGCAAUUAUAAUGAUUUAUCUUAAGAUGUACUAGUCAAAUUAGCACUUAGUCUUUUCUCCCUUAAUUAUUUAUUCUUCGUGUGAACGGUCAAAGUUUUAUUAUUUAUGUUUUACAACAAACCUUAUAUUGACCAUUCACGUAGAAAAAUAAAUUAAACCAUAUUCACUUUCAAGUCAGCGAAACCACACUAACUGAAGUGCUAUAACUCAAAAUGAGAUUAGACUAUUACUUAAUAUGCUUACUUAUGUUCCUUUUCUUUAUACCUUAUUUAAACAAUAGAUAUCAAAAUCUAAUUUGUUGCAACUUUAUCGUUUUAAAAUAAAACGUAUCCUUACUAUCUUUAAGGAACCUUCUAGUACGUAGCCCCAAAUUAAACCUUAUGCCCCCAAAAAAUUAUUUAAAAUGGAUGCACCUAAUGAUCUUAAAUUUUAUAAAUAGAACGACGAUAUACUCUAGGUUCUUCUAUUGUUCUAUCCAAAAACAAAUUCAAGAUCUAUGCACCAUAAUAGGUAAUAAUAAAAAUAUUUGUGCAAUUAAGCACAAAGUGUUAUAGGCAGAUAAUGUGUAAGCAUAUAAAUAAAUUAAAUAGAGAACGUAAAUAAAACCAAUAUACUCACAUUAUAAUCCAAAUGUGACUUUUCAAUUUUAAAUAAUUAUGGAGUACAUCUCAAGAUGCCUAGCACAACAUUAAUAUCAUGUCUUUGGACAAUAAUAUUAACUGUAAGUGGCACUCUCGUUGUAGUAAUCAAGUGCUGACGAUAAAUCCUGUCAAAUAAUGAGCCCAUCUUUGGAUGUCACUUAUUAUUCACAUGGAAACUUAACAAUUGUCACGCACUUAUUACCACAGUUGCAUAUGUGGUUCGGCCAAAUAUCAACCUACCUUUGGGUAUAAUUAAAUAUUCGCAUGAAUUCACAUAUACAUAACAUCUUAACAUUCUCAAUAAGCUAAUCUCCACAGAGAGGUCACUUUGGUGGCUUCAUGCUUCAAUCAGUUAUCUUAAAAGUCAGACAACUUAAUAACAAGUCAUUAGAUGUACCCAAAAAAUUAUUUAGAAAUUUAAAGUCGUUGUUGAACGCCAAGGCUCUAAUGACAUCACCUAAGCGCUAACAGGCUGUAUCCAACACUAAGGUUGCCUCACUGUAUUGUUUUCGAAUCAAAUUCAGCAAUAUGGUUAUUCAUAAAAAUGAGUAUGAAUUGAAAACAUCGAAUCCAUCUUUAUUUUGAAUGUGAGCUAAAGAUGGUGUGGGGCUCACAAUUCAAUCUUAUUUAGAUUUAGUGGCCAAAAUAAUUUUUUAACCAAUAAACCUAACCUUAUAUGGAUUGAACUAAAUUAAUAAACUUAAUUAGACUUAAAUAAAAGACUUGAGUCAAAUAUCGAAAAAGUCAAUCCUUAUUUGGUUAAAAAUAACCACUAUCCAUAUUUUGACUUAAUUACGAUGAAAUGACAAUGGAUCAGAAGCUAAUUAAAAAUUAAUUUGUAUCCUUAAUUUUGACCCAUUACUCAAAAAUUUAGUCUAAACGGCAUAAACUUUAUCAUCUGAAAAUUCCCCAAAUUAGCCUUAGAAAACCGAAUUUGAAAUUCAAAAUGAAUUUCACUUUAUUGACCAAACAAAAACUUAAAUGAGUUUAAAAUAAUUCACAUAUUAGUUUGGUCCCUCAAAAUAAUUGAAAUAUUUAAACGGCCCCAAAACCUUAAAUUAACCAUUUUAUUCCUUAAAAAAUUGCACUUGCCCCAAAACCAGAAAAUCUUUCAACUUAAAGGACUGAAUUGAAAUUUCGAAAGAAAAACCUUUGAGAGAAAAGGGACCUAAGAUUCAGAAAUACUUGAUUUGAGAUUUAUAAUAUAUUUUCGAAAAAUAUGACUGUUUUGAGAGAAACUUUAAAAGCGGGGACUGAAAUGCAGUUUUCAGAAACAUUGAGGGCCCCGAAACAGAUUUUUUUUUUUUUUUUAUUCUUUCAAAUUGACCCCGGCCCAAAAUCAGGCAUAACCAAGAUACGGGCCAAAUCGAAAUAUUGCUAAAUAUCUUAAACUUAAAUUAGGGAACUGAAUUGCAAUUUUCCGAAACUUAAUUAAUCCUUCUACCCUAAUCUGCCAAUCCCGCCGCCACCACCAUGCCUCAACGCUGAUCAUUGGCUGGCCAGAAAAAUGGCCCCGCCGCGAACGACUAUGGGACCACCAUCCUAAUCGGCCGUACACCACCGCCGGAUACGCAUAACUCACAAGCACCCACGCCACCGAAAUCCACCGUCGGCGCCCCGGCUGCCCCUUCUGCGAAUUAUGCCGCCGUGGCGAGACCGAAGCUCCAUCGCCGCCCGAAACUUUACGACGAAGAAAGCCAUAGGGCCGCCGUCGUCUCAGGUUUGAAACUCUAUGGCGAUGGAGGGUUUUCUUUAUUCCAUAUUCAGAUUCAAGUAACAAAAUUAAACCAAAUGGGAUCUGAAGUCUGAACAUUAAUUGGUGGCAUAGAUUGGAAUUGUGGUCGACAUAAACAGAUGACCGUCGCCCCUAAUUUCACCUUAGAUUUGGAAUUUUCAAAUAUUAACCUUAAAACCUUAAUCCGAAUUUUCAAAUUCAGGGGACCUAAUUUCGGAUUUAAUAUCCGACCGGAAUUUUCAUAAUUAAAUUGACAAAAAAAUAGGUUUCAUAUAAUACUAAAUUCUAGAUCAGCAUAAAGCCCAAUUUUCAGAAAUAUGAAUCCAUGGAAAAAAUAUAUAUAUCACAUAAUACCGAAUUGAAUACUAAUCUUAAAGAGAAUUCCAAUUCAUAUAUGCAGAUUAUUGACCGUAAUUCUUAAAAUAUCAAAUCCGUGAACAUAGAUUUUAUUACGCUGCAACAUAUAUAAUUUAACCCAUGGAAAAUUCUCAAUGAUCCAAAACAUGGUGGCUCUGAUACCACUUGUUAGAUAUUUUAUCGUAUAUACAUACGAAUUCCCAAGAACCAACAUGCUUGAAUCAACGAGAAUUAAACAGAAACAUAAACACGGAAGCGUACCUUACAUCAUGGAAUCAAAUCUUCGAAUCUCCACUGGAUUCGGGACAGGUCUUCCAAAGAAUCCGCAGUUCCUUAUUUUUCUCUCUAACGAUGGAUUUUAGAAGAGACGGAAUGAUUGCGUUUCUUUGGGGACCACGACCCUUUAUAUAACUGUAGAGUCCAGUUAUAUUAUAAUUGUGAUUCAGCCCCAUCAAUAAAUCACAAUUAAGCCCUAAUUGUCUCUACACAUUAGGCCCAUAAUUAUAGUCUAAUACCCAUAAGUCCAACCCAAUAAUCUUUAUUAUAUCACAAUUAAUUUGGACUUUCUUUUAGAUAGCCAUACACAUUUACUUCACAUAUGUGAGCCCACAUAAUUAUUGAAAUAAUUCCAACAAUCUGCAUUAAUGGUCGAAACCAUAUGGAAUUCGAAGUCAUAAACCCAUAAAAAAUGCAAAGUCUCACAUUGCAAGAGCUAUUAAAUUGAAGGUGCCGCGCAGGGAGUCCUGCUUUGGGCGAUUCAGGAGAAGAAAAUGACGAGAAGGUAUGAUUCCUCAAAAUUCCCAAAAUCGAAAUUCAAAGAUAUCAACUUUGAAGAAACUUACCAAUAUCGAAAAUCGUUGCUCGAUUGUGAUGUUCCAGUUCCAAAAUUGUUCGAAAUUCGCGAAAUUAGGGUUGGGCAAUCUUGUUGUUGCGGAAUUUCACCUCAAUUCGAUACUUCGUCCGAGGAAUUUGGGGUAGGAUUUCUGCAUUUGGUUCAACAAAAUAGGGGCAAUGAGAAUUGGGGAUUUUAAUGACAAAUUGGAAAAUUUAAACAGAGGGAGAGAACCACAUGUCACUCCACGUCAUUUUUUUCCGGCCACGUCAUCUUGGGGUGUCAGCCAAAUCGGCUUUUAAUGGCCAGAUCAGCAUCACGUGCACCACACGUGAUAUUUCCAUCCAAGUUACCUGUCAAAGAUGACGGCAUAACAUAAAUUGUUAAAAAGUGGCAAGUUUAAGGAUAUAUUUCGUGGAUGAAAAAGUUUGAGGACAUAAAUCGUUUUAGUGGUAAAGUUUAGGGACAUAAACUGUAAUUUUCCCUGAAGCUUCUGAAGAAGCCAGUUAAAGUUAAAGAGGGUCAAUUUUCGUCGACAGAAAUCGAAGCAUUCUUUGAUCCCUCUAACGGUGAAGUCAUUCUACAACAUGCCUUCCUCAUGAAUCAUUGUUAGCAUCUAAUAUUAUAAUAAGUUUCUUUUAAACGGUCUUUGACCCUUUUUUUUGUACAAUAUAUUUCAAUAAUCAUCGACCCUAAAUUUUUGAACUAAUAUCUGAUUGUUUGUGUUGGAUUUAUAAUUUUGUUUGCAUUUUUGCACAAGCUCUAUUACUGUUCAUGCAUUGAUAACUAAUUGUUGGUACCUAUUUGAAGUAAAAAAAGAGUAAAAAGCAGUUUACCCCCUAAACUAAGGGCGGUUUUGCACUUUGUCCCCAAACAAUUUUUUUUUGCACGUUUUUACCUAAACUUGUUAUCUGGUUGCACGAUGCCCGUUUUUAGGCAAUUUUGGACGGAAUCUUAAGCACGUGCUAAUAACGUGAGUUGGGCAGGGAUAAAAUUGUCACUUCACUUACAAUCUGAUCUAGAGUUCAAUUAUCCUUAGUUUUUCCUUAGUUCAAUUAUUCUUAAGCACGUUUUGCUUUCUCUUACUAUAAUUUUUUCUUCUGUCCUGAAGGUAAUGGAAGCAUUAUGCGUAAAAAAAUAAAAGGCCCUGUUUCAAAAUUCAAUAAAAAAAAAUAAAAAAAUUGAUUAAUUGGAACUUUGUAUGAUUUUCCUCCAUUUUUUCUUUUCUCUAGUCUGGCAGCACAUUGUUAAUAGACCCCAUUGGUUUUCAAUUAACACACGCAAUUAAGAGAACCCCUCAAAUCAUAUCAUACUAAGGAUAAAUUCGAUUAUUUAUUAAACAAUAAAUAAGCAAUUGAAAUCAAUCGAGAAUAUGCAGCAGGUCGUCAAGUUCGUAGUCGUCCUUACAAUCAUUUUUCGCCUCCGAGGCGACAAUAGCGGUGGUGGCAGCAGCCGGAGGUGGAUCAGCGGGUGGCCGUUCAGGUGGAUCCAGCGGAGGUUAAAGAGAAAAAAAGGGGAAGAGAAGAUUGCAUUUCACCUUUCGGAGUCUAUGUGUUAAUGAAGCUAAGAGUGAAAUGUUUUUCCAUAUCCUGAAAAAGUACACCGAUUGUUAGCCAGAGAACAUCCAAAGCCAGCAGCGUUUGUCCGUCCACAAUAAUGUUCUUGAUUUCACACAAGUUGAUGAAUGGAUGGAAUCAAUUCCGAAUGCACGAUCACUUCUUUGUUACGGUCCAAAACAACAAUAUCCAGUCUUGUUGCCUUUGUGUUUAAGAUUGCUCUAGAUACUAGAUGCACUUGCGAUCCGCUUCUACGAGUUCCCACAUCAUCAAGUUCUUGCAUUAAUUCACUUAAGGUAUUUUGCCAUCACGUGUGACAGAGAGCUCCCCAGUUCUAUAUCAAGACUUUGGAACCUCGAAAUCUUGAUUUUGGGUCAACAUCAUAACAUAAAAUUGUGGAAUAAUGGUCCAGUUUAUCUGCCUAUAGAGAUCUGGAACAUGCAUAAACUAAAACAACUUUACUGCAAGGGCUUGGACCUCCCAACUCCUCCUCAUGGUGAUUGUUAUCUUGAGAAUCUCUUAACAGUUUCAGGUGUGAGUGUUCACAAUUGUACCAUGUAAGUGCUUUCAAGAAUUCCCAAGCUAAAGAGAAUAGCCGUUCAGAUUGAGUCAGCACACGAGUCAAUCGAAACCUUCAGUUUUUUUGGUCAUUUUGCCACUCGCUAUGAUGAAUUUGAGUCGUUCAAAUGCGUUGUUGUAAAUCCUAAUCUAAGCUCUCAGGUUGUUCGUUGUGUUCCAAGAUUUCCUGUGAACAUUACAAAGAUAAGUUUGCAUGGAUGUGGAUUACCGUGGAAGAAUAUGGGAGUGAUUGCAGCAUUACCAUAUCUUAAAGUGCUCAAACUACGUCGGUAUGCCUUUUGUGGCCCUCACUGGAUAGUCAACAAUGGACAGUUUCCCAGGCUUAAGAUUCUUAUACUUGAAGACUUGGAUAUAGAGCAAUGAGUGUCAAACAAUAAAGGGCUUCGGAGGUCGGGACUUUAUCCGGAACAUGUGAUUGUUAGGCAUUGCUAUAAAUUGAAAAACAUCCCGGGUCGAUUCCUUGCCGGCUUAGUUGAGGUGGAUGAUUGCAGCAUAUCCCUGGUGGAAAAAAUGCGCUACUGGCGAUCCAUUUCUGAUACUGACGUUAAAAUCUGUUCUUCAACUACUGAUCUAUAAAGGUAAUCAAUGUUCGUCAAAUCUAUGUGCCAAAUUUUAAGGUAAUGAAUGGUUUUUUUGAGAUUAUUUAGAAGAAGGUCUUGAGCAAGACUGAUGUUGCAGAACAAUUAUACACUUCUAAAUAUACAUUAGUUAGCUAAUAUUAAGUAUGCUAUUUCCCAACUUCCAGUCUCCUAAUCCAUUAUUAGUAAUUAAAAUUUAGAAAUGAUACUUAGAUCAUGCUUUUAUUUUUGUAAACUAAUUUAUUUUUUGUCGGUGUACAAUAGACAUUUAAUAACAAAAACACAUUUCAAGAAGAAGAAAAAAAAAACAAUCAAAUAUUUACCAAGAGGUACUUUUAACCGGUAGAUGUCAUUUCAUUUGAUAUAUUUUAUGUGGAAAUUCUUCGGUUAGAGUUUUUACAUGCAUAAAUCAUAAGCCUGCUGACUUUCUUAGAAUUGAAAACUAGAGUGUUUCAUCGAAGAUAGGUUUUUGAUUUAUUUUAUUCACAGGAAGUGACGAGAAUAAGAAUAAAUUCCAACCAAGGAUGAAGAUUUUCUAUUCGUCAAGCAUUGCAGAAUCUCAAAGAGAGUUGUGUUCAUGAUUUGAUAUGUUCCCUUUGUGUUUAUUGUUUUUCUUUUCUUUGUUGGGGUGUCAUUGUAAUAAAUGUAAAAGGCGCAAUUUUACAUAAUUGAAUUUGAUGCUACUGAUCAGAAGCAAUUCUGAAAAUAAUGUUGUUUUUGUGUUUUACUUGUUUUUGCAAUGGCUUGUAACUUGUAAGUGAUAAAAAGAAGCAGGGGACUUGAGAAGAGUCAACUUUAAUACUAGUAAAUGCACUAGUAAAUGCAGCGCAUCUUAAAUAUCAAUCUCUAAAUUCUUUCAUUAAUUAAGAUAUCAAAAAAAAAAAAAAAAACAUAAUAAAACUUUGGAGAGUUGUGAUUUUCAGUAAAUUUGAAGUUUAACAACUAUGGAAACUAGGCUUGUUAAGUUGGAGUCGAGACUCAUUCGGUGGUGUCCAGAAAAGGAUCAAGGAUCUUAAGGAGGGAAUCGUGAAGUUGAAAAAACAGGUUCUUACGGCUGAUGUGAGUUCUAAAAUCAGUAUUAUGUCUUGUGAACUGGAGGAAUUACUAGACAAAGAGGAGAUGAUGUGGAGACAACGCGCUAAAGUCCAUUGGAUGAGAGACAAGGCGAUAAAAAUACAAAAAAAAUUCAUGCUAAAGCCUCUUCCAGACGAAAAAAGAACACCAUUGUGGGUUUGUACGAUGCUAAUGGAACAUGGUGUGAGGAAAAAACAGACCUUGAAAACAUUGUUUCCGAGCAUUUUCAUUCCAUAUUUACGUCAAAUAAUCCGUCAAUGGCUGCGAUGGAUGAGGUCUUGGGUGCUCUUGAGUCUCGGGUCAGCGAUGAAGUGAAUGGGGUUUUAGGAGAGGCGUAUACAGUGGAAGAGGUUAAAAAAGCGCUUGAUGGCAUGCACCCCUUAGAAUCGCCAGGCCCCGAUGGUUUCCCUGUGGUUUUUUAUCAGCGUUUUUGGAGCAUUAAUUGGCAGCGAUGUUACAAAUUGGGUCCUAAGGCUUCUAAAUCAUAAAGAAUUACCCGAGGCAGGUAAUUUCACGCAUAUUGUUCUUAUCCUAAAGUGUGCUAGGCCGGAACCCAAUUUCGCCCCAUCAGCUUGAGUAACGUGGUUUACAAGAUUGCCUCUAAAGCCAUAGUGAACCGGUUGAAACCACAUAUGAAUAAUAUUAUUUCCGAGACUCAAUCAUCUUUUGUUCCGGAUGAUAAUAUUCUUAUUGCAUAUGAGGUGGUUCAUUAUAUGAAGAGGAGUAAAGCUGAACAUAUGGCCGUUAAAUUGGAUAUGAGUAAAGCUUAUGAUAGAAUCGAGUGGAAUUUCCUUCGUCGAGUAAUGCUCAGGCUUGGGUUCAAAAGCGAGUUUGUUGAGUUGGUUAUGCUAUGUGUCUCCACGGUCACUUAUUCUUUUGUACUAAAUGGAGUGUCUUUCGGCUUUCUUAAACCAGGGAGGGGAUUACAUCAAGGUGACCCAAUUUCACCCUAUCUCUUUCUAUUUUGUACGGAGGCAUUAAGUUCUUUGGUUAAAAGAGAAGAACAUCGUGGAAAUAUUGCGGAUUUGUUGGUUUGCGCUCGAGCUCCCCGGGUAUCUCACUUACUUUUUGCCGAUGACACUAUGAUUUUUGUAAGAGUUUAUUGCAUUUACUACCCCCGUGAAAAUUGCAAUUGCGCGACUCCCCCUGUCAUAAAAAAAUUAGCAAAUACCCCCUAAGAAAAAAUGUCAAAGCCAUUUAGGUCGCUCAGAGCAUAUCGUGUCCGACAUGCGCAUCUCCAGUGAUUUUUUAUGAGAGUUUUGUUAAUGAAAUGACAAAAAUAGCCUCACACAAAUAAACAUAAACUCAGUUGGGUUUGAUUAUGAAUUAUCUAAUUUCUUAUGGAUCAAUUUGUAAUUUAUAAAGUUCUUUUAAAAACCCUCUUAUUUAGAUCCAAAACUCAGAUUUGCAAGUUCUGAAGGUGCAAGAAACAAGAAAAUGGCGCUCCGGCAGUCAAGAAAGGGGCGGCAGCGGCGGUGGUGGAAGAUAUGAAUCUAUAAUUAUUUCUAACUCCAAUUUAUCUGCUGCUAGUACUAAUUACAGAACUGGAAGAUGGUUUUGGUCCAUAAAAGUACUAAAGCAAAUGGUGGGGGGUGGCGGCGACGGUUGGGAAGAAGACGAAGAUGUUUUUUUUGGGUGGAGUCGCGGGGGUGGUUUGACGGGUAGAAGAUGAUGUCUCUUCUUUAUUUUUCACUUUUUUUGUUCUUUUUUAAUCUUUGUUUAUAUUUAAUACAAUGGAAAUGAAUAAAAUUUCAAAACAAAUAUAGAAAACUCUAAAUUACAAUAUAUUUUUAACCAAAUCAGUUAAACUAUAGAAAUUUUACGGAAAUAAAAUAAAUAAGAAACCAAAUUGUGUUUUCAAAUAAAAAACUAUUACAAUAAAAAAAAAUAUAUCUUUUAAUUGCAGAAACACCCCCGAAGUAUUUUGGUCUUUUCACAGCUGGUCAAUGGGCUAAAUAUAAAUGGGUCGAAUGUGCAUCCUAAAAAUAAGCACAGGCGAUAUUUGCUAAUUUUUUUAUGAUAGGGGGGAAUCGCACAGUUACAAAUUUCACAGGGGUAGUAAAUGCAAUAAACUCUUUUUUGUAAUGCUAAUGUUACUUCGGCUGAAUGUCUUAAAAAUGUUUUGCAAAUAUACGCCGAGGCCUCGGGCCAGAAGGUGAAUUAGCAAGACGACUAGUACAAAUAAUAUUUCUUUGAUUCGCUCGAUAAUUCCCAUGGAGGUGGUUGAUAAACACGAUAAAUAUUUAGGCCUCCCUUCCGCCUUAGGAAAAUCAAAACGGGAAGGUUGGUCUUAAGAAAAGGUUGGUCUUACUUCAGCAAGUUGCUCCUCCUUGGCUCCUUUGAUUUCAUGGAAAUGGUUAUGGAACUUGAAUCUUCCGAAUAAAGUUAAGAUCUUCCUUUGGCGAUGCUGCAAGAACCUUCUACCCACUCGACAAAAUCUUGUAAAAAGACAAGUCUUUGAUGAUACCCUAUGCGAAAUAUGUGUUGUAGGUGAAGAAUAUGUCAUUCACAGCCAGUGGCGGAGCCACCCUUUGGCAAGGGUGGGCUCCAGCCCACUCUCAUUUUAUAAAAAUUUAUACUAUAUAUUAUAUCUAUAUAUAAUUAGCCCCCCAAUAGUUUAAUUUAGCCCACCCAAGUAAUUUAGUUUAGCUUAUCUAUCAACAAAUUUAUGUUAUAUUAGUUGAAGUUUAUAAAUUGUAGUUAUUUUAUGUUAAUGAAUAAAAAAAAAAUCGGGGGCGCUGCCCCCGAACCCCCGUCAAUGUUAAGCCCACCCACCCAAGUAAUUUAGUAUAGCUUAUAUUAGUUUAAGUUUAUAAAUUUGUAGUUAUUUUGUGCUAUAUUUUUAUGUGAAUGAAUCAAAAAAAAAAAAUCGGGGGCGCUGCCCCCGAACCCCCGUUAAUGUUAAGCCCACCCUGUCUCGAAUUCCUGGCUCCGCCACUGUUCACAGCCUAUCUUUAUGUACGUUUGCUAGACAAGUUUGGGCGCUUAGUGGAGUGGCGUGAUCAAUACAUUGCCCGAAUGAUUUCUCUUUUGUCGACUGGAUUAUGAAUAUGAAGGAUCAAAUCAACAAAUCCGAUUUUGAAUACUGUAUAGUAUUUGUUGGGCUAUUAUAUGGCAUGCAAGGAACAAGAUGUUUUUUGAAGAUGUUCAUCGAUCGGCUCUUGACGUUAUCGUGUUGGCAAAGAAAUUCCUUGCAGAUGUGCAUGGGUCUGCUGCAGAGGUGCUUCGCCAGAAGCUUGGUCCAUCUGUGAGAACAUUGAAUUCCAGCUGGGAGGCCCCAUCCAAGAGAUGAAGUUAAAAUUAAUUUUGAUGCUUUUCUAACUUCGGCUGACCAUGGCUGCGGUUUGGGAAGUUUGGCGAGGUCGGCUGAUUGAACUUGCCUGGGUUGGUUCUUUACUUGGAGCUCAUCUCUCCUCGACUCUAUUUCAGCCGAGGCAAUGUCUGCUCUAAAGCCUUAGAAUUUGCUCGUGGUCACCGGUAGACCUGACCACCGGUUCGGUUAGAACCGGAACUGGAACCGAAAAAACCGGUUCGGUUCCGGUUCCUCAUUUUUGGAACCGGGAACCGACGGUUAGAACCGCGGUUCUAACCGUUUGAACCGGUUUUUCUAAAAAAAAAAAAAAAAAAAAAUUAAUUUCCUAGCUCUCUCUCUCUCUCUCUCUCUAUAUAUAUAUAUAUAUAUAUAUAUAUAUAUAUACUGAAAUGCUAAUUGUAGCGGGACUUUUACUGAAAUUGGCUUAUUUGCAGCGAUACCUUUUCAUUUCAACUUUUCAAACUUUUUGAAAAACUCAAAACGCUCUCAACUAAAAAAAGUCGAGAAUUAAGAUUUUCGACUUUAUUUGAUGAAUCGACUGCCCGACGACAACAUAUAACACUAUGGCCGAUUCUGACGAGUUUUACGAGGUAAAUCGAAGAAAGUAUCGGAUUUUUUUAGUUUUUCGUCGGGUUUACCGUGCUGUGUAGCACGGGAAUCCCAAAAAUUAGGGAUUCCCGUGCUGUACAGCACGGGAGAAUGAAAAAAAAAAAAAAAUGAAACUAUAGUACCCGUCUUAGGGAGCACGGGAAUAUCGUGCUCCCGUGCCUUUGAGGACGGAGGUUUGCGACUCCCGUGUCCUGGCGGACGGGUACAGUGGACCACCGUGCCCCCCGGCACGGGAACAGCAGACCACCGUGCCCGCCGGCACGGGAACCCGUAAUAAUUUUUUUUUUUUUUUUGUUAUUUAUAUACUAAUUAUUACUUGUUAUAUCUUAAUAGGGUACUGAAGGUGAUUUUGACGAUGACUUUACAACUAAUCGUGACAAAGCGUACAACGAGUACGAGGAUCCCAACAUGUGUUUCGAUGUUCCUCAAGACACACCAACAACUUCUGAGGAUCACAGUCAACAUUUCAAUGUAGGUGUUGAGUUUGAAACUGGGAAAAAAUUAGUGGAAUGGGCAAAAAAAAUGGCUGCUACUCAUGGUCAUCGAUUGAUAGUAACUUCAAGCAAGAAAAACGUGUAUGUAGUAUUUAGAUGUCAUUUGUCUGGGGAGGGACGUGAAAAACGAACCGUAGGUGCGAUACCACAGAAUGUGGGAACAAAAAAAUGUGGAUGUCCUUUUCAUAUAUACUGUAGCAAAAAUUCAAACGAUGGACUAUGGCGAAUGAAUUUAAAAAGUGGCACUCACACUCACCCGAUACUAUCGUAUCCUACCGGACAAGGACCGGAUAGUCGUUUGACACCAGAAGAAUACGAGGUAGUGAAGUUACUUAGAAGGAGCCACGUGAAGCCGGCAUUAAUUAUGGAUCGAUUGAGAAAGGAUAAUCCACAGACAUCAACGAGUGUGAAACAUGUCUACAACCAACUUGAGAAGAUGAAAAAAGAGAAUAUGGCGGGGAAGACUGUGAUACAACACGUGAUGUCGAACCUUCAAGAAUCUGGAUAUGAAUAUUGGUAUCGAAGUAAUGAAGCUGAUGAUACACUUACUGAUUUGAUGUUCGCUUCUCCUAUUUCAUUGAAACUUUUGCGGUUAUUCUCUCACGUUAUAUUGAUGGACUGCACUUACAAAACCAAUAGGUAUGUUGUUAAUUAGUAUUUAUUAUUGUGCUAUUUUACAUUGAUUGAUUGCAUUUGAUAUUUAUGUAUUUACGUAGGCAUGAGAUGCCACUUUUGAAAAUAAUUGGAAUCACUCCUGUUGGUAAGAAUUUUACAAUUGCUGUUGCUUUCAUGUCACAUGAAGAUGGAAACACAUACGAAUGGGCUUUGCGUUGUUUGAAAUGUGCAUUGGGGGGGCUGGUACAUAAUGUGAUAUUGACGAAUCGUGAAUUGGGACUUAUCAAAGCAAUGCCUCUAAUAUUUCCAGAAUCCGCUCAUUUCUUGUGUUUGUUUCACAUCAAUAGAAACGUGGAAAAAAAUGCAUCGAGAUUUAUUGGUAGUACUAAACACGGGCUUAUAUUUCGGCGCAUACAGUGGGCAAAAUUAGUGGAAUAAAAAACAGAAGAAGAUUACAAUGAUAAUUACGAGGAAAUGGUUAGACGCUAUGGUUGUUACCCCAAAUUGAUAUCAUACCUUAACGAUACUUGGCUAAUUUACAAGCACAAAUUCGUCAAAGCAUGGACUAAUAAGAUUUUGCAUUUUGGGAACACGUCGACAUCUAGGUAUGUUGGGUUUCAUUAUCGUCUUGUAUUUUAUAUUAUAUUGUGGGCGUUUUUAUUUAUUAGUUGUUAUUUUAAUGGCUAUUAACAGGGUGGAAAGUGCUCAUAAAUCGUCGAAGGGUUGGAUUAAUGCUUCUACCGGUGGUGUGAACACCAUUCAAUAUCAGCUCGACUCCGGGGUUGAGUAUCAACUAACCAAGAUCAAGGGUGAGUUUUCAAAAUGCAGUUUAAUCCGAUUGCACUCAUCAUCGUAUCCGGUAUUUCAGGGUUUGAUAUGCAAAGUCACACAUAAAGCAUUAAAUUUGCUUGAUGAUGAGCUCAAAAAACCGGGGUUUGAAGACCCAUAUCUUUGUGAUCACGUUUUGUGGGAUACUCAUGCACUUCCUUGUGCAUGCCGAAUUGCGUUGAAAAUCCAGCAACGUGAUACAUUUAUAUCUAUGGAUCUACAUCCAUUUUGGAGUACCAUGCACGUUGAAGAACCAGAAAUACCCGAAGCACAGAUGGAUCGUGAAACAAAUAUGAGAGACCGAAUAAUCAGACUAGCCACGGAAGUGUUAGAAAAAGAUUAUAUGACUCAAAAGAUGACUGCUGAUUACAUGAAUAGCACUAUUCAUCCAGACACCAUCCACUUGGCAGAGCUUGUAUAUGUUAUACCGAAAGGAAGGCCAAAGGAUAAACCGACGAAGAGAGAUAAAUCCGGUUGGGAGUUCCCAACAUUCCAGCGGAAGCCGUCUACUGGUGAAGAAAAGGGUAAAUCGUCUGCAGGUUCUAAGGGUCGAAAAAAUACUUCUACCGGAACCCCACCAUCGAAAGUAACCGAUCCCGGGUCUGGUCGUGGACGGGGGCGGGGUCGAGGGAGUGGUAGAUCAAGUGAUGAAUCCACUGCCAAUCAGAAUCGUACGCCAAUGCCUCGAAAGAAACCGGGCGAUGAGCUCAAUUUCAGAUCUUACAUCCCAGGUUUUGUGGCAGGAUCUAUUGUGUCGUAUGCUAAUGUUAUAGCAGAUGGAAAUUGUGGGUACAGAUGUGUGGCAGAAGCAGUGUUCCGAGAUCAGAACAGAUGGAGUCGUGUAAGGAGAGAUUUGAUUGCCGAUAUGUACGAGCAUUUUGGUACGUACGCAUCGCAAAAUGGUCAAGAUGAAGUCAUCCGAUGGAUAGAAAAAUGCGAUUGGCAAGAAGGACCGUGCAGUCGGGACAAAUGGAUGUCAUUUCCGGAUAUGGGAAUGUCGAUAGCGACUAAAUACAAUGCGGCUUUGGUCUUAUACGCCAUUGGCGGAAAUAUAACCUACUUACCUCUAGUUGGUCCGGGUGAAUUAUCACAUAUGAUCCAUAUGGUGUUGUUAGGAAACCAUCUUGUCUACAUUUUUUAUGUAGAAGUACUCGAGUGAGUCUAGGCCAGAUGCCUCCAGUAGCUCUAACUCAUCCUGCCCGUAAGGAGCCAUGAGUUGCUUCAACUCAUGUUUCUUAAAAGCAUUAAGCGCAGUAAUCCUUGACUCACAUUGCCCCACGCUGCGCUCCUGUAGAAUUUCUAAUUUAAUUAGACAAAAUAUAUUAAAAUAAAUAUAUUUAAAAUAUAUAAAAAUAAAAAUAUUUAAACUUACAUGUCCUGCCCAAAUGUAGUAGGCAAUAUGACUCUUGAAACUAGGAAUCAUCCUCCAAUCAGUCGGUCCUCCUGGAGCCGGACCAUGUAACUCAAGUGGGCCACUGGAAGUGUCAAACUCGUACCGAGACUUACGUGAGCGCGCGGCCGGGACGAGAACAUCAUCAAAAUCGCUCUCAACAUGGUCAUGCUCCUCCUCGUGUCCCUCGUAGGGGAUACGAGAAUCUGCCCCUACAGAUCGAAUGCUACCCGCCAUAGAUCUAGAACUAUGAUCUAUGUGGGGAAUCUCGUCCACGACAUAUAAAUCAGUGUCGCGCUCCAUAACUCUCCUACGACGAUGAGAUGCAGUCAUACGAAUGCGCUCCGCUUCCGCCUCGGCUUCCGUCGCGCCUUGCCCGCCAUACCGAAAUUUAAUCUUCGGAAAUUUAUCCGAACUCGAAGAAGAACCCAUAAGCCCUUUCCCCUUGUCCUGACGUGCCAUCUGUAAAAGAUAAAAAAAAAAUUAAAUAAAAUAAUUAAAAAAAAAAAUUAAAAUAAGUUUGAAAUUCCCGUUCUGUUGAACACGGGAACUUGAAGAUUCUUCAAGUUCCCGUGUUCUGCAGAACGGGAAACUCAAAUUUUUCAAGUUCCCGUUCCCCAGAACACGGGAAACUCAAAAAUCUUCAAGUUCCCGUGUCCUUCAAGACGGGAAACUUAAAUUUUUUUUUUUUUUUUUUUUUUUUUUUUAUUUCGGAAAAUUUAAAUUUACAAAACAGUUUGCAACUCCCGUGUUGUAGAGAACGGAUAGUUGAAGAAACCGUGCUCCAGAACACGGGUGCCGUAAAAAAAAAAUUUUUUUUUCCCGAAAUUUGCUAGAUCUUUUCCUAAACACGUGUUUUUACCUAAAUUGGAAAUAAAAAUAAUUAAAAGUACUAGGAAAUCGAAAACUUACCGGAAUCGAGCCUCGUUUGUACGGUUUGAAUGUCGAAAAAUUUUACGAAAUUCAAAUUUCUAGAGAGUGUUUGGGAAUAGGAGAGAGAAAUUGAAAGUUGGAAAAAUUAAAAUGAAAAAGGUAUCGCUGCAAAUAAGGCAAUUUCAGUAAAAGUCCCGCUGCAAAUAGUAACACCCAUAUAUAUAUAUAUAUAUAUAUAUAUAUAUAUAUAUAUAUAUAUAUAUAUAUAUAUAUAUAUAUAUCUCUCUCCUCUGUAUAUAUAUUAUGUAUAUAUAUAUGUGUGUAUAUAUAUAUAUAUAUAUAUAUAUAUAUAUAUAUAUAUAUGUAUAUGUGUAUAUAUGUAAAAAAAUUUAUUAAGAACCGGUCUCUCUCUCUCUCUAUAUAUAUAUAUAUAUAUAUAUAUAUAUAUAUAUAUGAACCGAACCGCAAGGAACCGGAUCUAUAUAUAUAUAUAUGUUCCUCCAAAAUCGGAACCGGAACCGGCGGUUCGGAACAAGAACCGGAACCGAACCGAACCGUGGUCAGGUCUAGUCACCGGUGGAAUAGAGUAGUUUUGGAAGGCGAUUGCACCACAAUUUUUGCAGCUAUUAACGGAGAGGAAGAUUCUCGGACAAUCUAUGGUAAUAUUAUCGAUGAUAUGAAGCUUUCAGAGUUUGUCAUGUCAUCAGGGAAAGCAAUCGAGCAGCUCACGAAAUUGCUAGGUUAUCUUCAAUGGAGUCCUGUACUUUGAACGUUUUGCCGAGCUUUAUUCAAGAUAUUGUAAGCUCUGAAUCAUUACAUUAAUGAAAUCUACUAGUUUUCAUCCAAAAUACCCUCAAUAAUAUAAUUCUUAUCCAUUCCACCCAUAAUACUCUAACUUCCUUAGUUUUUUAAUUAUUUUAUUUGUAUAAAAAAGUUAAUAAAACUAACAACACCAAUUUGUAAAUUUGUAAGUGUGAGGUAGCAAAUGAAUAUUAAAUCAGAAGAUUCUUCUUGGUUAUCAGCUACACAGCUGUAAUGCUAAUUGUUAAAUCCCAAAAAAGUGGUACUUGUUUUUAAGAAAGAUGCAAAAUGUCAACCCCAUAAAUUUACUAGUAUAUUUCUUGCAAAUGCCUUAGUACUUUUCGAGAAAAUAUAUAUUACAUAUAAAUACAUUAGAAAAUAAAGAGAAAUCAACAAUUAUUUAAAUUUUAACAAAAAUAUGCAAAUAUAAAUAAAUUAAAAAGGAAAAGAAAAAGAAAAAUUUUACCCAGCCGUUCGUUUUGAUUUUUUUUUCUUUUUUUUUUUUUUUGAUUUAUUUAUAUUUGCAUUUUUUUGUUAAAAUUUAAAUACUAUUUAAAUUGUUUUCUAAUAUAUUUAUAUCUAAUAUAUAUUUUUUGCAUUUGUUUGUUAAAAUUAAAAUAUUAUUCAUUUUUUUUUCUAAUGUAUUUAAAUUUUUAAUAUAUAUUUUUUUGCAUUUUUGUUUGUGAAAAUUAAAUAUUAUUCAAUUUUUUUUAUGUAUACUUAAUAUUAUAAAAAAAAUAAUUAUAAUUAGUACUUAAAUUUUUAAUCAGAUUUUAACCCCAAAACUAUAUUUAAUUCAAUUUUAGCCCCAAAAUAGUGUUUUGAUCUACGGUAUAAUUUUUAUUUUUCUUUUUCAAGAGAAGAGCCAAAAUGUCAAACUCCAAAAGUGAUCCCAGAUGAACUCCAAACCUUAGUAACUUUUUUUCUGCAAAUCUUAACAAAUUGAGCCUUAUUAGUACGAAAUGGGUUGUUAUGCUGCUGUAGCUUCCCUUGAGCAGACACUGGAACGCAUUUCCGAAUCCGAUGAUUUUCUUCAUGAAAUGGAUUCAGUUGUUGAAAGAAUGGCGGAGAUUCCCGGCAGCAAGAAAGUUGAUGCGGCAGCUUAUGAAAGACGAUUCAUAGAUGCUGUCCAAAUAUUCCAUGAUCUUAUCCUCUCCCACUUGUCGGAUCCAGAUCAUCAUGACAUCGGUUUUGCUUUGUCUCUCUCCCAACAACUGCAAAUAGUCCGAGAAGAAAUUACUUCGUUUCUCACAGCAACCGACCAAAUCUGCAGCAUGAUCAGGUAUUCUAAUUUUGCUUCUUCAUAUUAUAAUACCGACAAUCAACAGCAGAAUCUUCUUGUGGGAUUGGAUGACCAAAUUACAGCACUAAAAAAAUGGAUUUUCGAUCCUAUUUCCCAUGACUUAAUUGCAUCAGUUUUGGGCAUGACCGGAAUCGGCAAGACUAGCCUUGUUAAACAAGUUUACAACGAUCCACUUGUUAUAAAAGAGUUCGAAACUCGUUUAUUUCUGCACAUCGGCCCGGACUACACUCGAUCGGAAGAUAUUAUGCUGCGUGUUCUCGAUGAACUUGGCGUCGUCAUCCCUUCUGAUAAACUAGACGACAAGGAUUGUUUGCAGAAGCAAUUGUCGGAGGCUUUAUCUACUCAAAAGUAUCUACUUGUCUUAGACGAUGUAUGGGCUGACGACUUUGAUCUAAUGCCUGAAAACAGAAAAGGAAGUCGGAUCAUCAUCAUAUCUCAGAUCCAAGGAUUAUAUGACCACAUUCAUCCGGACAAGCGUAUUAUAUUACCGUUUCUCAACAACGACGACAGUUGGAAACUACUUCAUCAGACCGCAUUUAGUAAUAGAGAGGAGAAGUGCAGUCGUGAACUUGAGAAAAUUGGAAAGAAGAUUGCCAAAAACUGUGAAGGACUCCCUGCAGCAAUUAUACAGGUUGGAGAGAAUCUACGUGGAAAAUCUUUUGAAGAAUGGAAAACAUUAUCAGAAAAAGAAGAUCCACUCGUCAUCACAAGAUAUGACAAUACGCCACUCUCAAAGGCACUAUUUUUUAGUUACAUGAUGUUGCAUCCCUAUCAAAAGCCAUUCUUUCUGUAUAUGGGUGUGUUCCCAAAACAUUAUGGGAUUUCUCGAUCAAAGCUCAUCAAAUUAUGGGUCUCAGAGGGCUUUCUGGAGACAGACCUGGGGAUUGAAGAAAUUGCUGGAGACGCCUUGGAUGUACUUAUUCUGCAAAGUGUUGUUUUGAGAGAAAAACACGCCUCUAUAGAUAUGUAUAAAUGUAAGAACACUAGACUGCAUUUCACCUUUCGAAGUUUAUGUGUUAGUGAAGCUAAGAGUGAAAAGUUUUUUCAUAUCUUGAAAAAAUACACCGAUUGUACUCCAGAGAACAUCAAAAGGCAGCAGCGUUUGUGCGUCCACAAUAAUGUUGUUCUUGCUUUCACACAAGUUCAUGAAUGGAUGGAAUUGGUUCCGAAUGCACAAUCUCUUCUUUGUUUCGGUCCAAAACAACAAUAUCCAGUAUUGUUGCCCUUGUGUUUAAGAUUGCUCAAGGUACUAGAUGCACUUGCGCUCCGCUUCUACGAGUUCCCACAUCAACUACUUGCGUUAGUUCACUUGACGCACCUUUCCAUCACGUGUGACAGAGAGCUCCCCAACUCCAUCUCCACACUUUCGAACCUUGAGGUAUUGAUUUUCACUCGCCAUCAUAACAUCAAAUUUUCGAAUAAUGGUCCAGUUUGUCUGCCUAUAGAUAUCUGGAACGUGCAUAAACUGAGGCAACUUUAUUGCGAGGGCUUCGACCUCCCACCUCCUCCGGAUAAUUCUCAUCUUGAGAAUCUUUUAACAGUUUCGGGUGUGAGUGCUCACAGUUGUAUCACAGAGGUGCUUUCAAGAAUCCCCAAUUUGAACAGAAUAGCCGUUCAGAUUGAGUCGGCACACGACUCAACCGAAACCUUCAAUUUUUUCGGUCAGUUCGCCUCUGUCUAUGAGGAAUUUGAGUCAUUCAAAUGUGUCGUUGUAAAUCCUAAUCUGAGCUCUCAAAUUAUUCGUUCAGUUCCGAAUUUUCCUAUGAACAUUAGGAAGAUAAGCCUGAGUGGAUGUGGAUUGCCUUGGGAGAAUAUGGAAGUGAUUGCUUCAUUACCGAAUCUUAUAGUGCUCAAACUGCGAUGGUAUGCCUUUUGCGGCCCUCUGUGGAAAAUCAGCCAAGGACAGUUCCCCGCUCUGGAGUUCUUGCUGUUGGAAGACUUGGAUAUAGAGAACUUGGAAUUUGACAAUCAAUACUUAAGGUGGAUGAUUUUUAGGCAUUGCUAUAAAUUGAAAAACAUCUCGGAUCAAUUGACGUGCACCGAAAUACUAGAGGUAGAUGAUUGCAGCCCAUCUUUUGUGAAGAAAAUGCGCGAGUGGCGAUCCGUUUUUCGUACUAAAGCUAAAAUACGUUCUUCAAGUACAGAUCUAUAAAGGUAAUUAAUGGUCGUCAAAUCUAUGUGAAUUUUUUUAGGGUCAAUUCAAUGGUACACUUGAAGAAUCUAAUAUUUAGAUGAUCAUAUCUUAGCAAUUUCUUUGACUAGGACUAUAUUUCUCUUUCUUUUUUUGUCAACACGAAAAUACUCUAUUAUAAAAAAGAGAAUUUACCUAUAUUAUAAAUUUUCUUAGUUUAGAAAACUAGCGAAAACUAUUGCAUUCUAUUUUACUGACCUGCAGUCUUUUCAAAGUGCUUCGAACCAUUGAGCCCAAAAAACUCGAAAGAACGAAGAUGUAUACUCUAAAGAGUGAUACCAAAAAAAUCAGUGGCGUUUUAGUUAAUAUUGUAUCUUUCAUCCUAUAAUCAUUUUUCAGUUCAUUAACCAUUAUAUAUCUACCAGAGCAAUUCUAUGUUGAUCGAUUUUCAACUUAGCUGCUCGGUGAAUUUUGCUUUUUCGUCAGUGAAUUUUUGCUGCUUGAUCCUUGAAAACGUUGAAGAGAGGUUUUGACUGAUUAUUCUUUAUCUGUGUGUACAGGAAUAUAAUAAAUUCCAAAUGGCUAAUCAUGUGUUGCUCGGCGAUUGAAAAGCCUCAACUAUUCAAAUGAAGAUGAAGAUUCCUAUUCGGCAAGUGUGGCAAAAUUUCAAAGCUUUCAUAACACUGUUUUUUAUUUGAUAUUUUCCUGUUUUUGUAAACUUUUUUUGUUUUUGUUUUGGGUGAUCAUUGAAACUUAUGUUUAGGAUAUUUUCUUGAUUUAUUCGUGAGGCCAUUCUUAUAAUGUAAAAGGUAAUUAAUUUUACAUAAUUUUUACUUUUGCAAUGGCUGGAAAUAAAAAAAAAGUGUGAUGGAUUCGGUUCUAUCAAAUGAUUGUUGAAUGUGAGAUGUACCUCCCUGUAAGUUGUUAAUGAAUAUGGUUAAGGUAUGAAAGCUCAUUUCAAGUUCAAGUUCAACUCGUAACUCGACUACAACAAAAAUUCUAAAAUAUGUAUAAAAAGAAUUAGGUUAUUCAAGCUUGAUUCCUUCGCUCAAGGCCUUGAUAAUCAGACCAAGAUAUAUGUGUAUUUAUAUAUUUAUUAUUUUUUUUCUAAAACUCAUGAAUGAAAAUUUCCAGGAAGCUUAACAAAAUUCGGUUAUGCCCCUUCUUGUUUUAAAGAUUCAAUCUAGAGAAUCUGGAAUGUGCUAUGGAUUCGUGCGCUCGAUUGAUUGGGUAAAGGAAGUACAGUAUAAUGCCGUUUUGUCAACAAGACCGAGUAGAUUUGUUUGGAUAUAUAAGUUCAUUUUUUUCUGUACGGAGGACAUAUUUGAAAUUAAUGUCUCUAAAAUUUGAACUAAUCUCUGAAUUUUUAUGAUGGAUUUAGAAUUUUGUUUACAUUUUUUGCACGAGCUCUAUUACGGUACAUGCAUCGAUAACUACAGUUAAGUUGUUUUCUCCAAGUCCUUUUAUUGUUUUCGUUUUAUCUUAGCUUGUAUUUAUACAUACUGUUUUUGAAUUAUAUAUUCUAAUUAUGAAAAUCUCUACUAGCUUUUUAAAAUUUAAAACCUUGCUUAAAACAUUAUCAGUAUGCAUUAGUCACUUGAAAUUUAUAUUUUAGGGAAAAUGAGGGAUAACCCCCUCAUUAGGUAAAAUAAUAUAGUAUAGGCCCAAUUUAUAAUUGACCAUUUGUAGACAAAUCCAUUUAAUAUUUUUUGAAUUGUGUGACCCCCCUAAGCUUAUGUUAAUGCCCAUUAUGCCCUUUUUUGUCCAUAUUUAUCUCCAACUUUCUCUCUCUUCUCUUAUUUCUCUCAUAUCCGUCAUUUUAUAUCUCCACUAAUUUCUCUCUCUUCCUUAUUUUCCUCAAAUUUUUAACGUGUUCUUUUAUUCUUCUUAUUUUUCUCUCUCCUCUCUCCUAUCUUCUCUCUCUUCCUUCCCUUCUCUCUCUUCUCUCUCCUCCCCAAUUUCAUCUUUUCCCGUAUCUUUUUCUUUUCUUCUUUUUUCUCCCUCUCUUCUCUCUCUCUCUCUCUCUCUCUCUCUCUCUCUCUCUCUCUCUCUCUCUCUCUCUCUCUCUUUCUUCUUAUUUUUCUCUCUCCUCUCUCUUAUCUUCUCUCUCUUCUCUCUCCUCCCCAAUUUUCUCUUUUCCCGUAUCGUUUUUUUUUCUUUUUCUCCCUCUCUCUUCUCUCUCUCUUCCUUCUCUUCCCUCAAUUCCUCUUUUCUCGUCUGUUUCUGUUUCAUUUUUUUUUCACUAUUUCUUCUCACUACUGUACCUUUUCUUCUAUAUCUCAAUUUUUGGUCCUUGAAAUCAAUUUAUUUUCUACUCUAUGAAAUUUAUAUUUUCAUGAAGAUAGGAUCUUUAUCAUGAGUAUUCAAUUUUAUAACAUCAAAGUAUCUUAAAUUGAAAAAUAAUAUGGUAAAUUAAUGGAAAAAUUAUAGUUGACUACCAUUUUUUCUAUAGUUGACAUUUGAACAAUUAUAGUUGACUAUCUAAUUUUUGUAGUUGACUCUGGCAAAAAUAUAGUUAACUACCAUUUUUUAUAGUUGACAUCGUAAAAAUUAUAGUUGACUAUCGAUUUUUUAUAGUUGACUUCGGGAAAAAUAUAGUGAACUACCGAUUUUUAUAGUUGACUUCGGGAAAAAUAUAGUGAACUACCGAUUUUUAUACUGAUCUUUUUGUUUUGGACUCUGAUAAAACAAAUUUCAUAGGAAAACAAAUAUUUAUGAGUCAACAAAUAGUGCGACCAUAGAUCUGUAGAUUUAUAAAACAAUCGUGUUUACAAACUCCAUUUUUGAGUAAUCAACCAUGGAAGACAUCCGAACCGUCGCAUAUGGUCGUCGCGUACCGCUGUAUACCGUUUUUGUAGGAGACCUCGAUUUUGUCCUUCGGAGUCGCUGAAGAAGGUGUCAAAAACAGAAAUUAUGUGGUAGAGAUGGGUAUAUAACAAACUACCUGUCUUCUUCUUGCCGUUCUUCACCAUUUUCGUCAACCUGUGUUGCAGUGAACUGUAAUGUAGUGAACUGUAAUGUAGUGAACUGUAAUGCAGUGAACUCUAAUGCAGUGAACUCUAAUGCAGUGAACUGUAAUGUAGUGAACUGUAAUGUAGUUUACUAUGAUUUUGUUUGCCAGUUUGCCUUCCAAGCAAUUUUCACAGAACAGGUUUGGUAGUACACUCAGUGCCAUUUUUUUAGAAACUGUAAAUUCAAAUGAACAACAAUAACACAAAACAGAAUGUAGUGAACAAGAUUGUAUACACUAAUUAGUGAACAUAUCCUAAUACACAGCAUAAUGUAAUAAACAAUAUGGAUUAAACUAAGUUUACAAUAAAACCGUGUUUUUUGUACACUGUCAAAUUUCAGUGAAUACAGUAAACUAUAAUGUAAAAUGUAUGUAGUAAAUUAAGUUGUGGACACAACUUACUAGACAUCAAAAUGUAGUGAACUAUAUAUAUUGAACUAAGUUUACAAUGCAAGUUGACUCUAAGUUUACGAAGCAGUUAACAGUUAAUCAUGUAUCAUAGUGGACUAACAUACAAAGAAUAUAAGUGGACUAGAUAUCAAAUUGACUUAAUGAGUUGACCCUGAGUUUCAGCAGUAGUAAACUAUUAAACAAUUGUCAUAGGAAUGGUGUACUCAUACAAACUACAUUUCAUUGCAAAUGUCUGCUGUAGAUCAACACAUUUUUUUGAACAACGCAUACAUAGAAUUGUAAUCAACUUCACAGUUCAACUACAACACCACCCACAAUGUUUUUAGAUUCAUAAUUAUGCAGUCAACUACAAUGCCCAAAAAAACAUAGUUCAAUUGGAAACCAAUUUGCAUAAAUUAUUACCAGCGUUUAGAUGCAGUAAGUCAACUUUCAUUUUGCUAUGUGGCGUUCCUGGGAAAAGAAAUAUAACAUAGAUUAAUUCUUUUGUACAAGUAUUUAAAUCAAGUGAACUAUCAGUAUGGACGAUUUGUUAAUACCUCUAUUCGUGUUCUUCUCUCCCAUUCGUUUCUUCGAUUUUGGUUUCACUGUAAUCAAUAAAAAUUUCAGUGGCCCAUGUAUGAAACAUAGCAAAAUUAAUCAAAAUUGCUAUGAAAUUUACAACAAAUCGAAGUGAAAUUGAUUGUCGAUUCCAGACUUACCUUUGCAUACGGUUUCUGUAAAAGUGUUCGAUUUGCCCUCCGGAGUCGCUGAUAAUGGUGUCAGGGAGAGGAAUUGUGGGGUAAAUGCACAAAAUUAGGUCAAUAAAAAGUCGGCGAUAGAGAUGGGUAUAUAGCAAACUACCUUUCUUCUUCUUCCCGUUCUUCACCAUUGCUUGUCAACCUGUGUUGCUGGACGAAUUGCACAAUAAAAUGGUAUUCUGAGUUUUUUUUUUCCGCUGAAAAUGUAGCAAACUAGGGCAAUUUUUGAAAGGGGAAAAUAUGCGGUGUAUAUAUUGCAGUUUUUUUUUCGGCGAUUUUAUCGGCAUAAAUGUAGCAGACGAACGGAAAUGUGGGUGAAAUUAUGUUGAAGAAGAUGGUUGAAGAUAUGCAGUAUUUGGGGAAAACGGGAGGGGGGUCUUUGCUAUUACAAAUUAUAGGGGUAUUUCAGUAAUUGACAUUUUUGAGGGGGUUUGACCCAUUAAAAAUAUUGUAAGGUGGUUAGUCCUAAUAUUUUUUCUAAUGAGGGGGUUAUAUCUUAUUAACCCUAUAUUUUAUUUUACAAAUACUAGUUUCAAAAUGCUUACGGUUUUAAUAUGACUCGAUCGAUCGCAUCCAGUUGAGCUAAUAUUUGUUCUUAGAGGGGUUUUUUGCAAAAACCACCCCUGUGUAAUCUCGAAUUGCUGAAAAACCCCUCGUGUUAAAAAUAUUAGCACAAAACCCCCUAUGAAAAAUAGUCAAAGCCAAAAAAGACCCUACGAGCUCGAUGUGUUAUACACUCGCGCUUUGUGCGACUGGGCCUCGUGUUUAGGAACUAGAAAGACCUAAAUACCCUUUAAUCAAUUUUUGAAAUUUAUAAACUUAGCCAAAAUAUUUUUCAUAAGCUCAAAAUGAAGUUUUCAGAAUUUUCAAUUCAAUCCCCACUAACUUCAGAAAAGCCCUCUCUCCAAAUUGCAUAGAACCAAAUUGCAAUUUUCACAAUUUCUCAAAACUUCAUCAUCUUCUUCCCCUCUCCUUCAGAUAUGCUGCACGCCAAAUAAAAAAUUGGUGAUGCGGCGGUGGUGUUGGUGAUGCGGCGGUGGUGCGGACGUGGUGUUGGUGAUGCGGCGGUGGUGCGGACGUGGUGGUGGUGAUGCGGCGGUGGUGCGGACGUGGUGGUGGUGAUGCGGCGGUGGUGCGGACGUGGUGGUGGUGAUGCGGCCGUUGUGGUGGUGAUGCGGCGGCGUAGGGCUCGAUGGAAGAAUCGGGUUGCGGCAGUGGUGCGGACGUGGUGGUGGUGAUUCGGCGGAGGACUUAUGGAAGAAUUGGGUUGUGGGAGGAAGACGAUGGCCUGGGUGACUUUUCUUUUUCUUUCUUUUUUUUCUUUUUGCAUUUUAUUUAUUUAAUUGAAACAUAAACUAUUAAAAAUAUGAGGGUUACUUUAGUCAUUUCAUAAAAGUCAACUGCUAAUUUCGAAAUAAAGGGCAGUGUGCUUUGUCAAAAAUAAUAUAGGAGGGUUUAUGCUAAUAUUUUUAACAUGGGGUUUUUUUUAGCCAUUCAAGAUUUCACAGGGAUCUAUGCAAUUAGCUCGUUCUUAGAGUCUUUCAGGGAAUAGUGAAAUCAUCGAAGAGAGGUUUUUGAAAGAUUUUCUUCAUUGGUGUACAAGAAGUGAAGAGAAUAAGAAUACAUUCCAUGAUUCAUUCGUCAGGCCAUUCUUGCAAUGAAUGUUAAUAGGCAAUUAAUUUUACAUAAUUGAUGCUACUACGGAGCAAAUCUGGAAAUAAUGAUGUUUUUGGAGUAGAUAACUAACUAUGGUUUUUACUUUUUGAAAUGGCUUGACAGCAGUGUUUUGGAACCCGGAUCGGAUCGGACCGGUUAAACUGCGAACUGUUGUCUUUCCCGAUCCAGUUUAAUAGGUUGAACCGUAAAACCGAAACCCAAUUGAAAACGGGAUUUUUUUAUACCAAAAUAGUGUUUUUUAUCAAGUUUUUUUAAAAUAAAUAAAAUGGCUUAAACUCGACAUAUUGUCUCACAAUUGGGAUUUUUGGAAUUGACUAGAGGUGAAAAUUGGAAUGGAGAUUUCUAAUUCCACAAUUCCUAUCGGGUUUUUUUAUUUUGGUUAGAAACGAUAUAUUUUAAUUGAAUUCCGAAAAUGCCGAUUUUGGAACAAUAUUUUAAAAUUUUAAAAUAUAUUUUGAUUUUUUAAACAAUAUUUCCGAAAUGAGUUGAUUUUUUUGGAAUUUACGUGAUUUCGUUUUUAUAUUAAUUAAUUAAAAAUAAUAAUUAUAAAAAAAUAUGUUUUAACAAUACGCAAUGCGUUUUGUUGAAAGUCCAUUUUCAUGUAGUGUUGUAAAUUGAAGGCAUGUGAGAGGCACAUGCCAUUUUCCAUCCAACUUAACGGCAAAAAUUAACGGCGGACCAAUUCUGUCAAAAAAUGCCAUGAUUAAGGACUACUAUUGUAACUCCAAAAUGUUUAGGGACAGUUUUGAAAAAGUGAGUAAAGUAUGAGGACAGAAAAUGUAAUUUUCCCGGAGUUAAUAUGUGUAAAAUAAAAUAUGUUUUGUUUACUAUCAAAAUUAAAUAUAAAUGAUUAUAAAUAAGGGUAAAUUACAACCACCCCUGAGGUAUGGUCAAAUUAAAGAAAAAAACCCUCAUGUUUGGGUAAUUACAACCACCCCUCAACUAUAAAUCUUCUUACACGUCCACCCUUGCGGUUUAAAAUUUAGUGGAAUUUUCGAGUAUAUAUAGAAUAUUAUCACUUUUCUACCCGCUUUAUCCCAUUCGAACUCCACAUUUUGAAGCAAGAUGAUCAUAAUAUGUGUUUUUUGGCUUGUAUAUAUCAGAUUGUGGUUUAUCAGAAACUGUAUUUUACACAAAACGAGGACAAACUAGAGCACAAUCCACGAAAUCUGGAUGAUUAUGUUGAAUUUGACACCAUAAGGGUUCAGGUGUAAGAAAAAAUCAUAGUUGGGAGUAGAUGUAAUUAUCCAAACAAGAGGGGUUUUUUCGUAAAUUGAUCAUACCUCAAGGAGGUGGUUGUAAUUUACCCUAUAAAUAAAGGUCACUUUAGAAAUAAGCCCUUGACAUUCCAUACUUAAGGUGGGUGAUUGUUAGGCAUUGUUAUAAAUUGGAAAACAUCUCGAAUCAAUUCAAGAACACUGGACUACUAGAGGUAGAUGAUUGCAACCCAUCCUUUAUGAAGAAAAUGCGCGAGUGUCGAUCCUUUUUGGGUGCAGAAGCUAAAGUAGGUUCUUCAAGUACGGAUCUAUAAAGGUAAUUAAUGGUCGUCAAAUCUAUGUAAAAAAAUUUAGGGUCAAUUCAAUGGUACACUUGAAGAAUCUAAUAUAUAGAUGAUCAUAUCCUAGCAAUUUCUUUGACUAGGACUAUAUAUCUCUUUCUUUUUUUGUCAACACGAAAAUACUCUAUUUUAAAAAACAGUAUUGGACUUUAUAAUAAAUUUUCUUAGUUUACAAAAACUGUUGCAUUCUCUUCAAAGUGUUUCGAACCAUUGAGCCGUUGAAACUCGAAAGAACGAAGAUGUAUACUCUAAAGAGUGAUACCAAAAAAAUCAGUGGCGUUUUUAUCUUUACUUGUUACCAAAUAUUGUAUCUUUCAUCCUAUAAUCAUUUUUCAGUUCAUUAACCAUUAUAUAUCUACCAGAGCAAUUCUAUGUUGAUUUUCAACUUAGCUGCACGGUGAAUUUUGCUUUUUCUUCUGUGAAUUUUUGGUAAGCUUGAUCCUUGAAAAUGUUGAAGAGAGGUUUUGUUUGAUUUUUAUUUAUAUGUGUGUACAGGAUUAUAAUAAAUUCCGAAUGGCUAAUCGUGUGUUGCUCGGCGAUUGAAAUGCCUCAACUAUUCAAAUGAAGAUGAAGAUUCCUAUUCGGCAAGUGUGGCAAAAUUUCAAAGCUUUCAUAAAACUGUUUAUGAUUUGAUAUUUUCCUGUUUUUGUAAACUUUUUUUUUUUUUGGUGAUCAUUGAAACUUAUGUUUUUGGAUAUUUUCUUGAUUUAUUCGUGAGGCCAUUCUUGUAAUGUAAAAGGUAAUUAUUUUUACAUAUUUUUUUACUUUUGCAAUGGCUGGAAAUAAAAAAAGAAGUGUGAUGGAUUCGAGUAUAUCAAAUGAUUGUUGAAUGUGAAAUGUACCUCCCUGUAAGUUGUUAGUGAAUAUGGUUAAGGUAUGAAAGCUCAUUUCAAGCUCAAGUUCAACUCGUAACUCGCCUAGAACAAAAAUUCUAAAAUAUGUUUAAAAAGAAUUAGGUUAUUCGAGCUUGAUUCCUUCGCCAAGGCCUUGAUAAUCAGACCAAGAUAUAUGCGUGUGUGUAUAUAUAUAUAUAUAUAUAUAUAUAUAUAUAUAUAUAUAUAUAUAUAUAUAUAUAUAUAUAUAUAUAUAUAUAUAUAUAUAUAUAUAUAUAUAUAUAUAUAUAUAUAUAUAUAUAUAUAUAUAUAUAUAUAUAUAUAUGCCCCUUCUUGUUUUAAAGAUUCUAUCUAGAGAAUUUGGAAUGUGCUAUGGAUUCGUGCGCUCGAGUGAUUGGGUAAAGGAAGCAGAGUAUAAUACCGUUUUGUCAACAGGACCGGGUAGUUUUGUUUGGAUAUAUUUGAAAUCAACGACUCUAUAUUUUAUUUUACUAAUACUAGUUUCCAAAAUGCUUGCGGUUUUAAUAUGGCUCGAUCGAUCGCAUCCAAUUGAGCUAAUAUUUGUUCUUAGAGUCUUUCAGGAAAUAGUGAAAUCAUCAAAGAGAGGUUUUUGAUUAUUCAUAUGUGCACAAAAAGUGAAGAGAAUAAGAAUAAAUUUCAUGAUUUAUUCGUGAGGCCAUUCUUGUAAUGAAUGUAGAGCUUAUUGCAUUUACUACCCCUGUGAAAUUUGUAGUUGCGCGAUUUCCCCCUGUCAUAAAAAAAUUAGCAAACACCCCAUAUGCUUAUUUUUAGGACGUAUACUCGACUCAUUUAACUUUUGGCCGUUGACCAGCUGUGAAAAGACAAAAAUACCCGAGUAGGUUAAGCCACGGGUUUUUGCUAAAAAUAAAAAUAAUUAUGAUUAAUUUUGAUUCACUACCACGUGCCACACCCAUCAAUCACGAAAACAAUAAAAUUCUGUAAAAAAUAUUUUAAUUUCAAAAUGCAAAAAAUAGAUAUUAAAUAUAAAUAAAUCCAAAAAAAAAAACAAAUGGAAAAAUAGUUGAAUUGUAGCAAACAAUAUGCAAAUAUAUGUUAAAUAUAAAAAAGAAAAAGAAAAUGGGGUGUAUUUGCUAAUAUUUUUAUGACAGGGAGAAAUCGCGCAGUUGCGAGUUUCAGAGGGGUAGUAAAUGCAAUAAGCUCAAUGAAUGUAAGAGGGCAAUUGAUUUUACAUAGUUGAUGCUAAUGUGAAGCAAAUCUGGAAAUAAUGAUAUUUUUGGAGUAGAUAACUAACUAUGAUUUUUACUAUUUGCAAUGGCUUGAAAGCAGUGUUGUGGAAUAAUGGUCCAGUUUAUCUGUCUAUAGAGAUCUGGAACAUGCAUAAACUAAAACAACUUUACUGCAAGGGCUUUGAUCUGCCAACUCCUCCCCUCGGUGAUUCUUAUCUUGAGAAUCUUUUAACAAUUUCAGGUGUGAGUGUUCAUAGUUAUACCAUAGAAGUGCUUUCAAGAACCCCCAAGCUAAAGAGAAUAGUCGUUCAGAUCGAGUCAGCACACGAGUCAAUCGAAACCUUAAAUUUUUUCGGUCAUUUUGCCACCCACUAUGAUGAAUUUGAGUCGUUGAAAUGCGUUGUUAUAAAUCAUAAUCUCAGCUCUCAUGUUGUUCUUUGUGUUCCGAAAUUUCCUGUGAACAUUACAAAGAUAAGUUUGCAUGGAUGUGGAUUACCUUGGAAGAAUAUGGCGGUGAUUGCAGCAUUACCAUAUCUUAAAGUGCUCAAACUGCGAUGGAAUGCCUUGCAAAGAUGAAGAUUUUCUAUUCAUCAAGCAUUGCAGAAUCUCAAAGAGAGUUGUGUUCAUGAUUUGAUAUUUUCCCUUUUUCGUGUUUUUUGUUUUUCUUUGUUGGGUUGUCAUUGAAACUUAUGUUUCGGAUAUUUCCUUGAUUUAUUCGUAAGGUCAUUCUUGUAAUUCUGGAAAUAAUGUUGUUUUUGUGUGGAUACUACCUAACUAUGAUUUUUACUUUUUUUCUUUUUUUGCAAUGGCUUUUAACUUGUAAGCUAUGUAGCACAGACACGAGAACGAGAACACGGGUAACGGAAACGGGAAAACUCCGUUUUCCAAAGAAAUGAAUACGGGAAUGUGGCGAAACGCUUAAAUAAUAAAAAUAUAGGGGUGCAUUCAUAAUUUCUAAAAAAAUAUUAAAAUGUUUAAUAUCAUUCCACAAUCUACAUUCGACGAAUAUAAAUUUAUUUUAGUAUGAAAUUAACAUCUACAAAAAUAUUAAAACACCACUAGAAGUGAAAAGGAGACAUAAUAUUUAAGAUUUUUUUGAAGCUUAUGCAAUUCGAAGUCUUUAUUUGAAAUGAAAUUUGGAUUUAUUUUGUGUGGAAAAGUGUUUUCAAUUUUCCAUUAUUAUCAGAAACGUCCCCAAAACUUUUAUAUAUUUAUGGAAAUGGCCCUGAAACUUUUCUGACAGGUGUCAUGAAGUUUCGAUUUCCGAAACGUUUCCGAAACAUGGAAACGCGUGUGGGUUGAAGUUUCCAAGCAUCAUAGCUUGUAAGUGAUAAAAAGAAGCAAAAAAGUGGGAUAAUUAUAGUUUUGGUCCCCCAAGUUCGCACGUUUUUUACUUUUGGUCCCCCAUUUACCGCCGUAAACAAAAUACACACUAAUGUUGUCACAUUUUAACACAUUUAGUCCAUCUCUAUUUGACUGUCAAGAAGUAACGGUCAACUGUUGAAUUAGGGCUCAGUUUGGGAUUUUUCAUAGAUAAAAAUUGCACUCAGACCCCAACAUUCUUUUAAAAUAUUCUAAAAACCCCUAAAAUUUUAUUCAACCCUAAUUUAACCCCACUUUCAUCAUUUAAUCAAUUUUGACAAACGACCCCGAUUUUUAACCACCAUUACCGCUGGCCGUUGACUGCUGUUGAUUUUUUUUUUUUUUACUCUUUUUUUUCGGCAUUGAAUUUUUUUUUUAAUAUUGAUUUUGACGCCGUUCACCGACAUUGUAUUCUCGGUUAACAAUGUCGACUUUUUUUAUUUUUCUUGAUUUUUUAUGAACUUUUCCCUGUGGUUUUUUUUCCGAUCAACACAAUUACUGUAUAACACAAUAAUAAUAAUACUAUAUUAAUAUCUAGUAUCAUAAUAUUAAAAUUAUAAACUUCUAAAAUGGUUUCUAUCUAAAAUUCUAGGGCCUACAUACAAUUUAAAAAAAUUCUAAAAUCCAUAAUUUGUUCCCCUCAAUUUUUUCUUCGUUGAACCGCUACUACAUCCCAAAUUUCUUCCCAAAAAAAUAUGAAGAAGAUGAAUUAGGCAUGUGCGGAGUAAUUUGGAAUGAGAUAACUACUCUAGUACAACGGUUUUGGGGGCUAACAUCGGCCGUUAAUUUUUAUCUUUUUUUUUCUUAAUUUUUUUCCGUUAUUGAGAUGCGUUGACUUUUUUCCUUUUUUCUUUAUUUGACUUUUUUUAUGAUAUUAUUUUCUCGCCGAUUAUUUGCUUUUAAUUUCUUUUAAAUUAUAUUUUUCCAUUACUCAACAAUUUAAAUAAAAAUAAAAUAAAAAUCAAGAAAAAAAUGUCAAUGUUGUUAACCCGACAUUCAACAUCGGUCAACAACGGCAAAAACAGAUCAAUCGAAAAAAUAGUCAACCGAGUUAAAAAGAAAGUCAACGUCGGAUUACCCAAUUUUGGAAAAUCGGGGUCAUUGGUUAAAAUUGGUUAAUUGAUGAAAUUGGGGUUAAAUUAUGGUUGGAUAAAAAUUUAGAGGUUUUUAGAAUAUUUUGAAAGAAUACAGGGAUCUUUUUGCAAUUUUCUCAAAGAAAAACCCCAAAUUCAACCGCUGACCGUUACUACUCAACGGUCAAACAGAUGGAGGGAGUAAAUGUGUUAAAAUGUGACAACAUUAAUGUGUAUUUUGUUGACGGUGGUAAAUGGAGGACCAAAAGUGAAAAAUGUGCAAACUUGGGGGACCAAAACUAUAAUUAUCCCCAAAAAAGUAGUAGUAUAUUUCUUGCAAAUGAUAUCAAAUUGAGCCUCAGUACUUUUGGAGAGAGGGAGAGAGGAUUUACGAAAUUUGUUUGAUAUUUGCACUUGGUAUAAGCUCGAUCUUAAAAUCAUUUGGCAACGAAAUUCGAACUUAGGUCAAUUGACACAACUUUAAAGAUUAAGCCACCUACUGCAGGGCUGCUCUUAAUACUAAUUGUGUAUAAACUGUAUAAUGAAAUUUAUUUUGUACAAAACUGCAUUUCAAAAGUUGUCCAAUAAUAUAUUAUAAGCAUAUAUCUAGGAAUUAAUUUUGAUUCAUUUUUUUUCUUAUUUAUUUGAAGCUGAGGAUUAGAUAUUUAAUGGAGUUUCAAUUUUUAAAUUAAUUAUUUUUAUUAUAUUAACUUUAUUGCAAGGGCUUCGGCCUCCUACCUCCUUCGGAUGAUUCUCAUCUUGAGAAUCUUAUAACAGUUUCGGGUGUGAGUGUUCACAGUUGUACCAUAGAAGUGCUUUCAAGAAUCCCCAAUCUGAAGAAAAUAGCCGUUCAGAUUGAGUCGGCACACGACUCAACCGAAACCUUCAAUUUUUUCGGUCACUUUGCCU